rnacentral:lncRNA from 1 species
UUCGCAAGUAUAUUGCCGAUCCUUCUCAUGUGCUGCAAGAGCAGCCGAUCAGUUUGACGAAAGAGUUGUCUUAUGAAGAGGAUCCGGUUCAGAUUCUCGACCGAAAGGAGCAAGUGCUUAGGAACAAGACAAUCCCACUUGUCAAGGUGCUUAAUUUGGAGAAGUCAUCAAGUAGAAGAAGCUACUUGGGAAUCAAAGGAGAAAAUGAUGCAGCAAUAUCCCCAUCUCUUCGAAUGACAGGUAUGUAAAUUUCGAGGACGAAAUUUUUAUAAGGAGGGGAGAAUUGUCACAUCCCGACCCUUAAAUUUUUACCUUAUUUAUUAGCUUGGUUAUAAUAAGAAUUUUACCGUCUCCGUUAAUGACGUUAUAGUUUAAUUGGUCCCUAGAGGGGUUUUGGGGGACGAUUAUUUCGGAGAGUUAUUUAUAGGAGAAAAAUAUGACGACGGUAAAAAUGGUAAAUUUUAGCUAGUAAAAGGUAAUUUUUAUUAGGGUAUUAUUUUUGGGGUGUUAAAUUGGUGGAGUUGGAUAAUAUUUGUGGUGUUGGGCCAGGUUGGUGGGUGAGGCCCAAACCCCAUUUUUAUUUCCUUUUUUUCUUCUCUUCUUCUCCUCUUUUUCUUCUUCUCUCUUUUCUUUUCCUUCCACUCUUGAGCUCUCUCUCUUCCUCUGCCGGAAUCCACCGUUCGCCACUGUCGUCCGGCCAAGCAGGACGGUCCGUCGUCCUCCCCGCCGCCUUCCUGGGCUGGUGAGCGGCGCUGCAGCCCCGCCGAUCGGAGGAAGUCCUCCUUGGACGUCGUUUGUCUUCUUGCCGGAGCUCCCUCCUCCGGCCACCAAUCCUGGCAAGCCAUAUACGGUUUUGUAGGUCUCCAACCCAGUUGCCAUGCCCUAAAAGGACUCACUCCGGUUCGCUUCAGGUAAGGAGAAAUUUGAGGUGGAAGUUCUAGGGCGAUUUGGAUGUUUUUGCUCGAUUGGCAUAGCUAGGCUCGGAUUUUGGGUUUGUGCUAGUUAGGAAAGUUGUAGAGCAUGAUGAGAGGAGUAUUCUGUCAAAAUUUCAUAGGAAUUGAAGGUUGCAGGAAUCGGCCUUCGGCCACCGCUACGGGAUGAGCUGGCGCUGGUGCCGCCGCCAGUUGGGAGAUUUUAAUGUUGUUAAAUUUGGAAUAUUAAGGGGAGUUUAUUGAAGUGAGUUAUGGAAUUUUUGGAUGAGUUUUGGAUAGGUUUAUGAAUUUCCGAAGUGUGGUAUUUUUGGCGGUUAAUUAAUGUAGAAUCCGGCCGUUGGAUUAAAAUUGUUUAAACUGUGGGAAGGUGUAGUUACGGCUGCUAGUUAUAGGGUUGAAAUGUGGACCACUUUGAAGUUAGGCAAUGUUGAGCGUGUUAAUGGCUCUCGGUUAAUUUUGCCUAUUUUGUGCAAAUAUUGGAAUUUCGGCUGGGAAAUUAAUAUUAUAUUUGGAACAGGUCGUGAGGAGGCUCGAGCAGACAAGGCCCCAGUUCGACAUUAGGCUUAGGCCUAAUUUGUGAGUGGACUUUUAUUUUAAAUAAUGUGCAUGCGAAAUAAUUUAUGUGGUUAGAGAAUAACCGAAAUUGAGAAUUUCGGUGAGUAUGUAUAUAUGUCCAUAUUUGGAUGAUUAUGAGAAUAAUAUGUAUAUGUAGAAAUGCUAGCUAGCUAUACGUGCUUUUCCACCAUACUGAGGUAAAAUUCCAUUAUGGUGCGACAUGAGCGUUAGACGCAAUCGUCGUAGCCCUAUAUAAAUAUAAUAAUUUAUAUUGGGGAUAUGCGCGUAUAUAUAUUUAUACACCGUCUUUUCCACCGUAAUGAGGUAAAAUGUCAUUAUGGUGCGACGUGAGCGUUAGGCGCGAGCGUCGUAGCCUUGUGUGAAUUUUCUAUUUGUCUUUGUUGUUUCAAGAAAAUUCAUACAAGAGAUAUGACGAGUGUAAUACAUACAUAUUUUAUUUUAGCCUGAGAGGCUCUUACUUUUUUGAAGUGUUGGUGACUAGUGUGGCUAGUCAGGUGUUGGUAAAUUCAGUAAAUUUUUAAAAGCUUUUGAGUUGGUUGCAUGCCAUUAAUUGUUUUUCCACUGAAGUUUAAAUUGGGAAAGCAUAAAGAAUUAUUUCUUUUAAUUUAUUUUUGUCCACUCACUCUAACGGUGUAAAAUGUUUCCCCUGGGCCCUUUGUUUUAAAAUGCCCAGUCUGCAGAGUACGGGUUGGACCUAGUAGGAGACGAGGCAUAGUCACCCGCAUUUCCACCACUUUUCAUCCGUAGGUUACCUGUUUAACCUACCUGUGGUUUCUUAUUUCCAUUAGUGUCUAGUAGCUCUGAAUACUUGGGUUUAAUGUAUAUUAUUUCGGUUGUGGGCGAAGACUUGUUGACAUUUUAGAAUAUUUGUCGGAGGAUUUAUGUUAUCUAAUAUUGGAUAAUUCUGUGUUGGUGGUGGUUGUAUUUGGAGAGCACGUAGGCUCCAGAAGUUAAGGUUGGAUUGAGAAUUUUAGAAGUGUUUGCAGGUUUUCUUUAGAAAAGGUUGUCCAUUUUCAAGGGAGGUUAUGCCGAAUUUUCGGUAAUAUCUUCCUUGGAGGUGGUCCCCGCAAGAUUUACUCCGGGUUUUAGGGUAAAAUUCGGGGUGGGUCUUGUCAUGUAGAGAUCUCUAUAUGGAUUGGAUUUGACAUUGAUGCGUCCCCCCAACGAUAAUCACAAUUUAGACUUCAUGAUACGAAUUUGAGUAUCAGUGAUCAAUGGAUCAAGUUGUGCCAAUCUCGCUUUCUUCCUAGUGCGGGAAAGUUUCGAACCUAAGGGCCUCCCUCCUUUUGGGGAGCCACACAGCCUUGUGACACCAAUUUUGCCACUAUAUGGCGUCACCAUAUCAUCAUCCAUGGUGAUGGCGUCAAGACCAACACCUUUUGGUCGCGCCAUGUCCUCUUGAUAGGACACCAAUCCUUGCAGACAUAUUUGCAGCAUGUGAUCACGUCACUUUAAUACUUUAAGCAUUUGGGGUCAAGAUGAGACUUAGUGGGGACAAACCAUGAUAAUUCACGUUGUUCCACUUGAACACUUGUGUUCUUAUCUCCCCCUAACGGCGGGAAUAUUGUCUCAUCAUAGUGACAAUCCAUAAUUUAGCAGUGAAUGAGAUCGCCUGACAAGGUUUCUACAUAAGUAGAUUAUAGGUGGAGGUUUAUAUCCAACCUAAACUUAUUCAUCUCAAAUGCCCAUCAUUGUGCGCAGUGGCAUUGCAAUUUGGCACCUAGAAAUAACAUCUAACCGAGCUCAAAUAUUGGAGAUCCGUUUCAAUCCUGUUUGAGCUCAAGGAUUGCAAUUUCGUGUCAAUCCUGGUACACAGUCACGAGCUGUAGUACAAUAAUAUUAAAUGAUAAUGGGUCGUAGAUGAAUAGAAAAGCUGCGUGCAAAUAUUGCAUAGCCCCAGGACGCAAUAGAAAGAUUGGUGCACAUCAAUAAUGUUCAAGCGACAAGCUAAGGUUGCUUGGUCAUAGCCUCGGUAAGACCGUAUUGCGUGUGAACAUGGGGUACAGGACACUUCAACUUAUAUUCCGAUAAACUUUUUAAAGAAUGGGUAGUGAGCCUGUAGAAGGAUACGCAGCAUAAGCAGUAGAUAAUAGUGUAACAUAUGACCAGUGUGUUAACACUUCAACCAACACCAUAAAAAAUAAAAAGGUGUCUGCAAGUUGGUUAUAUCUAUCUAUAUAGUUUGAUGUAAGAAUGAAAUGUUCAGUUUUGUGUCAUUUAGUGUAGGAGGGUCUCCCUCCUAAUUUAGCUAAAAAAUAGGCUUUCAAAAUGAGCAAUGAGCAAUGCAGGGGGCCAAUGAGACAUCGAGGGAAGGCCGAUGCACCUCAAAACUUCUCUAAGAUGCAUUUCAGUCUAUAUUCAUGAGAAUGUAUACACAAAAGAACUCUUGUUUAUUCUCACAAUGUGUUUUCAAAUGAAAACUAUUCGCAGGAAUGUCUUUAUAGCUUAACAUGGUUCGGUUGCCUCUGAAUGCAUAGAGGGCAUCUGUGAUGUUGAUCAUGGUGCCAUGAGACAUAAAGAAUCAAGCUAAAUCACGUCCCUGAAUGACCGGUAUGAUUCAAGUAUUGUAGUCACAGAAGAUUUACAAAGACACAAAAUCGAAAGAUAGUUGUCGGUUCCUUAGAAUGUUAUGGAUAGUUCCACAACCUGCGAGGCACUCAAUGUCUCUAUGAGACAGAUCUACAAAAUGGAGUAGAUAAGAGAGUAAAUAGUUCCACUUGAACCAUUUAGAGGGAUGGAAAGAAGCUACGAAAAGCUGCAAUCCCAAGAGUGCAUAAAAAUUUCCGCGCAGAAUGACCUUUGCGCCCUAAAACAACCAUAACUUCUUUGUUAAAAUAGAUAUGGACAAACCGUUAAAAGUUCUAAAAAUUAGACUUGUAGAACUUUCCAAUGAUAUAAAGCUCACUGUCUGGUUCAUCUGGAGCUAUUCACAAAGCUCAAACAAAGUUGACUGUCCAGAAGGGACGGAUUGCUGUUUUUCAUAGAAUUGGCAUGUGCGAAGCUGUGAAGCUUGCAGGUGGCGUGUAAGUGUUUGCCUUAGCCAAAAGUGACGUGUGUAUGAUCAAAACCAAGUCCUUUCGGUCGUUCCAAGGUCGUAAACUCCAUGACUAGUUAGCAAAAGCUCUCUGACAUGAACAUAAACUAAUUCAAAGGACUUAGAGGAUUCGAUCAUGAUGAUGAUUGUCUAGUUUGGAUAAGUCUUCAACGUCUUUUGCAAGACGAAAAUUGGUUUAAUAGCGGAGGGGGAUCCAAAAUCAAAAGCUUUCGGUAAGUCCAAGUCAGUAUGACCAAGCAUGUCCGUGGAGGGUCAGUAGUGCGAGGCACACUUGAAACCACUAUCUCCUUAAUUUCAGUCAAUUCUAAGACAUCACAAUGAGCUUGGAUGAGCCUAUUUGAACAGUUGAUGAUGGAAAAUCCGCUAUAGGGUAGAAGACUUAACCGAAAAACAAGUGGGCGAUCCUCCUUGAGGAUGCGGUGCCAUGAAUCAGCUUCAAAGGAAGGGACCAAAAUCGGCACAAUAUGUCAUGUUUCUAAGGACGAUGUAAGAAUGUACAUUUUUUUUUUGUAAAUCAAAAUGAACCAUAAAAGGAGAAUAGUUUCAUAACAUCGAAAAAGUUCUCAAGGCAUUCAUUAUUGCACAGAUAUUAUAACUUUUAGGUCUAUGACCCACGUAGAGAGAGUUUAAUCUUGGUUGAUGUUCAUGUUUAAGUAAUGCCAUUGAAUACUUGGUUUGGGUUGUUUAAUUACUGCUAUGACUUGGUUUAUGUUGUGGGGAGUGAAGGACUCCAGGAGUGGUGGUUGGUUAUUAUAGUUGAAGUGUUUCAGUUUUUUUUUCAGGAUGGGUUGUCCAUUUUUAGGGGAGGUUAUGCCGAAAUUUCGGUAUAAUCUUUUUUAAGAGUGGACCCCGCAAGACUUGCCUAUUUUACUAUGUGUUUUCGGGGCGGGUCUUGUCAGUUGGUAUCAGAGCAUUAGGUUCCUCUUCCUGUUGAAUUAAUGGCGUCUAGUUUAAUACUAGAUUGUCCAUGUGAGUAGUACUAAUCUAUAUUUAUCUCAGGUACUAUGCCUCCUAGACGGCGAACACAGAGAGCUCCUCCUGUGGGGGAUGAUAUGAGUGCACAAGAGGGUAUGCUGGGAGCGUUUGAGCAGAUUGUUAACCAGUUUGCUGCAACAAUGAACCCUCAGCCCUCGCCUGAUUUUAGCAUUAAGAAAACCAAGGAAAAUGGUGCUGAGAAGUUUUCUACAGCCAAGGAUCCCAUUGAGGCCCAGGAGUGGAUUGAGACUAUGGAGAGAGUGUUUACUAGGAUGAGUGUUCCUGAAGAUCGUAAGGUAUUUGUGGCAGUGCAAUGGUUGCACGGUCCUGCAUGGCAUUGGUGGGUCGGUAUUACUAGAGAUUAUGGGGAUGCUCCUCACAUGACUUGGGAUGAGUUCAAGGCCCAUUUCAAUGAUCGUUACUAUAGUCGAGCUCAUCUCCAUAGGAUGCAGGAUCAGUUUAUGAAUUUGCAGAAAGGAGAUAUGUCAGUCUUGGAGUUUGAGCAGCACUUCCUUGCUAGAGCUCAUCAUGUUCCUGACUUGGUUCGAGAUGAGCCGGAUAAGAUUUACAGGUUUGUUCGGGGACUUGGGGGUGAGUAUCAGGAAAAGAUGCAAGCAGUGUUGUAUCCGAGAUUUAGUAAUGCAGUUGCGGCAGCUUUGAAUAUUGAGACCUCACAAAUGGGUAGCCGACCCCGAGACUUUGGUGGCCCUAGUCAGGGACCGUCAAAGAGAGCAGCAUCCACAUCCGGUUCCGGAUCUUCUGUGGGUAGUGGUCGUAGUAGUAGCUCUGGUCAUUCAGCUCGACCUAGACUCAGAGGUAGCCAGAGAUUUGCUAGGGGAUUUGCAGGCAGACGCCCCUUUAGUCAGUUUAGGGGUGGUAGUAGUGGAGGCCACAGUGGUCAGUCAGGUCAGUAUGGUCAGUAUCAGCCAGUUGGGUGUUUCGAGUGUGGCGAGCCAGGUCACUUUAAGAGAGAUUGUCCCCGUUUGGCUCAGGGGGUCGCGCCUACAUUUUAUCAGACUGCAGGUCAGACUUCAGUUGGUGUUUCUAGCAGUGGCUCACGUGCUAGUUCGGCAGUUAGAGGGGGUCCCCAGCGGGGUAGAGGUCAGUGAGGACGUCCUACCACUCAGGCUAGAGUUCAUGCCAUGUCAUUGCAGGAGUGGUAUGUGUCUUUGCCUUCGGGUGAUGUGUUUAAAAUUGAUUGGGUAUUUAGGUCUUGUGAAGUUCUGGUUGAGGGGUAUGACUUGGAGGCAAAUUUAAUUCCGUUAGAGAUGGUUGAUUUUGAUGUAAUUUUGGGGAUGGAUUUCUUGGAGGCAUAUCAGGCUUUGGUUGAUUGUUUCCAGAAAACAGUAGUGUUCCGAAGUCCGGGGAAGCUAGAGAUUACAUUUUGUGGAGAGCGAAAUGUUUUGCCAUCUUGCUUGAUUUCAGCAGUAACAGCAGGAAAAUUGUUGAGUAGGGGUUGUCAGGCAUAUUUGACUCAUGUUGUGGAUACUCGUAUGGGAGUUCUUAAGGUUGAAGACAUUCCUAUAGUUAAAGAGUUCCCUGAUGUCUUUCCUGAGGAGUUACCUAGUUUACCUCUGGUAAGGGAGAUAGAGUUCACCAUCGAAUUACUCUCUGGUACAGCCUCUAUUUCUCAGGCACCGUACAGGAUGGCCCCGGUGGAAUUGAAGGAGUUGAAGGUCCAAUUGCAGGAGUUAGUGGACAAGAGUUUCAUAAGGCCUAGUAUGUCUCUUUGGGGUGCCCCAGUAUUGUUUGUAAGGAAGAAGGAUGGUAGUAUGAGACUGUGCAUUGAUUAUAGGAAGUUGAAUCAAGUUACUGUGAAAAAUAAGUAUCCUUUGCCCCGCAUAGAUGAUUUGUUUGAUCAGUUGAGGGGUGCUAAAGUCUUUUCCAAGAUUGACUUGAGGUCCGGGUACCACCAGUUGCGGAUUAGAGACUCUGACAUAACCAAGACCGCCUUUCGGUCACGCUAUGGUCACUAUGAGUUUGUGGUGAUGCCGUUUGGAUUGACAAAUGCACCCGCUGCUUUCAUGGAUUUGAUGAAUAGGGUGUUUCGCCCAUAUCUAGACCGUUUUGUCAUUGUGUUCAUUGAUGAUAUUCUGGUCUAUUCAAAGAGUGAGAAGUUACACUCUAAACAUUUGAGUCUGGUGCUUCAGACUUUGAGGUGUGCAGAGCUAUAUGCCAAGUUUAGUAAAUGCGAGUUUUGGCUUGAUAGUGUUGGAUUUUUGGGCCAUGUUAUUUCAGCUGAAGGUGUUAGUGUGGAUCCUCAAAAGGUGGAAGCAGUGACUAAUUGGAGUAGACCUAAUAGUGUAACGGAGAUUCGUAGUUUCUUGGGUCUAGCAGGCUAUUAUCGUCGUUUUGUACGAGAUUUCUCUAAGAUCGCCGCUCCACUUACAAGAUUGACGAGGAAAGGAGUUAAGUUUGAGUGGUCUGAGAAAUGUGAGCAGAGUUUUCAAGAACUCAAGAAUCGGUUAACUAGUGCUCCUGUUUUGGCUUUGCCUGAUGAUAGUGGAGAAUAUGUGAUAUAUUGUGAUGCAUCAAGAGUAGGUUUGGGUGGUGUGCUUAUGCAGCAUGAAAAUGUAAUUGCUUAUGCUUCUAGGCAACUUAAGCCGCAUGAGUUGAAUUAUCCAACCCAUGAUUUAGAGCUUGCCGCGGUGGUUUUUGCAUUGAAGUUGUGGAGACACUAUCUUUAUGGAGCUAAGUGUUAGAUCUUUACGGAUUACAAAAGUCUCCGAUAUAUUUUUACUCAAAAAGAAUUGAAUUUGAGGCAAAGGAGGUGGAUGGAGUUGAUUAAAGAUUAUGAUUGCACUAUUGAGUACCAUCCUGGAAGAGCGAAUGUGGUGGCAGAUGCUCUUAGUCGGAAGCCUACCUGUAGCUUAUCCUAUGUGAGGACAGUUCGACUUCCUCUUUUUUAUGAACUACGAGCUACAGGAGUUGAUUUGUCUGUGGAUAGAGUUGGUACUUUGGUUGCUAGUUCCAUGUGAGACCGAUUCUGAUUGACAGAGUGCGGGAGGCACAAUAUCAGGACCCUUCCAUUGUCCGCUUGAUUGAAAGAACACGUGGUGGCACCACGGUGGGAUUAUCCAUUGGAAAAGAUGGGGUAUUAUUAUUUAAAAACAGACUUUGUGUGCCGAAAAGAAAUGAAGUGCUUAAGCAAGAGAUUUUGGAGGAAGCUCACAGUUCUCCUAUGCGAUGCAUCCUGGUAGUACUAAGAUGUAUCGGACUUUGAGGGAAUUUUAUUGGUGGCCAAAUAUGAAGAGAGAGAUUGCGGCUUUUGUAAGUAGAUGCUUGGUUUGCCAGCAGGUGAAAGCUGAAAGGCAGAAACCAGCAGGGUUGCAACAACCCCUGAAGAUUCCAGUGUGGAAAUGGGAUCAUGUCACUAUGGACUUUGUUUAUGGUCUACCUCGUUCCCGAGAUGGUCAUGAUGGUAUUUGGGUGAUUGUUGAUCGACUCACCAAAUCAGCACACUUCUUGCCGGUUAAUAAAACCUAUAAAUUGGAGGAAUUGGCAGCAUUGUAUGUAAAUGAGAUUGUCAGACUUCAUGGGGUGCCAGAAUCUAUAGUAUCUGAUCGGGAUCCUCGUUUUGUGUCAAAGUUUUGGAAAAGGUUACAGACGGCUUUGGGGACUCGAUUAUGUUUUAGCACUGCCUAUCCACAAACCGAUGGGCAAUCCGAGAGAACUAUUCAGACCCUAGAAGAUAUGUUGAGGUCUUGUGUGAUUCAAUUUAGAGGGAGUUGGGAUAAGAAAUUAGCUUUGAUGGAGUUUGCCUAUAAUAACAGUUUUCAUUCUAGUAUUGGUAUGACACCAUUUGAGGCCUUAUAUGGGAGGCAAUGUCGUACACCCUUAUGCUGGAAUGAAGUGGGAGAAAGAGAAUUUGCUGCUCCAGAAAUUGUGUUUCAUACAAAUGAGAACAUCAAGGUAAUCAGAGAUAGACUCAAGGCAGCUCAGAGUAGGCAGAAAAGUUAUGCGGAUAACCGCAGGAGGGACCUUGAAUUUCAGGUUGGUGAUUGGGUAUUCCUGAAGUUGUCCCCAUGGAAGGGUGUGAUUCGGUUUGGGAAACGUGGAAAACUUAGCCCAAGGUACAUUGGUCCUUAUGAAAUUACGAAGCGGGUUGGCCCAGUAGCUUAUCGUUUGAGGUUAUCUCCAGAGUUAUCCAGGAUCCAUGAUGUUUUCCAUGUGUCUAUGCUCCAUAAAUAUGUGGCCGAUCCUUCUCAUAUUUUGCAAGAACAACCCAUUGGUUUAAAGAAGGAUUUGACCUACGAAGAAGAAUCGGUUCAGAUCUUGGAUCAAAAAGAGAAAGUGCUAAGAAAUAAGACGGUUCGACUUGUUAAAGUCCUUUGGAGAAGUCAUCAGGUUGAGGAGGCCACUUGGGAACCUAAGGAUCAAAUGAGACAGUAGUAUCCCCACCUCUUUUAUUGACAGGUAUGGAAAUUUCGAGGACGAAAUUUUUAUAAGGAGGGGAUAAUUGAUACACCCCGAACCUAGUAAUUAAUUUUAUAUUGUGAUUUCCGGUUUAUUGGUAGCUAAUCAAUUCGGAAAUUUAUUAUGUUAUUCUUAAUAGAGGUGGUUUAGUCGAGUUCAUAGAAUUUUAGUUACCCGGUUAAGAGUUCGUAAAUGAAGGGUAGUUAAAUAAUAACAGUAUCCAUUUUUGGGCUUAGGCAUUUAAGGGAGACACCAUUUAGGAAGGGAAAAAGUCAAAAUCAAAAAAUACAACCCUCUCCACUUCUCUCUCUCCCCGAGCCGAGCCCGACCCCGACCCGUCUGGUUCACCUUGGCUGACCGCCGCCGUCCGGUCACACCAGACCUCCGCGCCGGUCCCGUUCAGCAGCUGGGACCUCGAUCGACCUUCCUAGGGUAGCAGCUGACCCCAUCUCGCCGGCGUUAGGGCGCCGGAGGCCUUAGAAGAAGCUACGUCACCGUUUCUUUUUCUUGUCGGAAUUCCUUCCUCUAGCCACCAAUCGGGAAAUUAAAGGUAGGGUUUUGAUGCCCUCUUACUAGUUAUUCUUUCCCCUAAAGGUAGGAGAUCGAUUGGGUGUAGAUAGCAAAUCGGGGGUUUUGUGUUCUUGGGCUUGUGAAGUGUUUUCCAGCCAAACCCUUGAUUUGUGGGUUUUGUGUUAGUUAGAAUUGUUGUUAAGCUUGAUGAGAGGAAGAGUUUGGUGUAUGGUUUGCUAUUUUUGCUCGGAAUUGUGGGAGAGAUGGUGGUUGACUGCCACUGUCGACAGUUGACCGCCACUGCUGGUGGUUGUUGUCGUUUGUAGUGGUGGUUGUGAAGAGUUUUGUUUGAAUUUCUAGAAGGGUAUAAAGUUGUUAAAGUGUAGAAGGAUUUUUGGUGAUAGGUGCUUGGAAUUUGGGAUAGUUUUGGUUGUUCCAUGGAGGAAAAAGGAGUGUAUUGAAGUAUUAAAAAUUAUGGUAUAUGUUGGUAGGAAUUUAGAAAAUUUUUAAGUUAAUUUUGGUGGAAGAGUAGAGGUGAGCCUCAUCCUUGGGAAUUUCCAUAUUUGUGCUUAAGUGUUAGAACGUUGAGGAAAAAUUGGAGAAGGUUAGUAAAAAUAGUUGGAGUUCUCCUUAGUUUUUGGAGAGUGUAGAGUGAGGGUAGAUGACAUUGCCCUAUUUUGUUACUUUGAUAUUCUUGUAUUAUUUUUGUCUCGGACCUUAAAUCUUGUUUUGUACAGGACGAGAGGAGACACCACGUGAGGAGGGCUCUGACCGACGUCAGGCUUAGCCGUCUAUACUGUGAGUGGACAUUUUAUUUUUAAAGGAGUAUGCAUGCAUGAUUUGUUUAGAAAAUCAUCACUAAUUUUCUGAGUUGAUAUUAUUAUUUCUUUUAUGAAGGGAUCUUGAAAAUGAUUUGAGUUAUUCUAUUUUAAGCAUGUUAACGUGUGAGACACGUUGAAUUUAAUUAACUAUAUUGCUCUUAGAAUUUUUCCAAGUACGGUUGGGAAUCGUACUUAUAUUUUAUUUAUGAGUUUCGGGGAAACUCAUAUGAUUUAUAUUUUCCUUAUGCCAUACUCUUGGAAUAUAUAUCAUGUCAAUGCUAGCAUGUCGUUCCACCUUUCGAGGUGAUGUGACACCCACGUUUCAAGUGGGGUCACGCAAGCCCUUUCCACCCUAGUGGUGAUGUGAUGUUGCCGGCGGCAUCACGCAAGCCUUGUGCCCUAUCCGUCAACUCGACGUGAAGGUACAGGGAAUAUGGGAGUACUAUGCCUGGGAGGCAACCGAGUCUGGGAGACUCACUUAUAUGGCCAUAUAGGAUAUUCUAUUUGAGUUGUUAAAUUGACUAGCGGGGCUAGUCCACUAUUUUUGGAAGUUUUUUUUUUUAUACGAGAAUUCUAUUUAUUUUUCUUAUUGUUUUACGACUAGCGGGGCUAGUGGGAAUUUUGGUUGAGCUUAUAAUAUCUGCAUGCAUGAAAAUUCUUGGUUUCCAUAUAAAUGGAAAAGCAUAUAAAAUCUUGAUUUAGUAUCAUUAUGCUCUUGGAUACUUAUUUAAUUAGUUUGUUUUUCGUCCACUCACGCUAACGUUUUUAAAUGCUUUUCCCUGGGCCCUUUGUUUUCAAAUGCCCAGAUUGCAGAGCUCCUGUUCGGUUUCACUAGGAGUUGAGGCAUAGUUUUCCCGCUGCACCUUGCUGACCGUAGGUUACCUGUUAACCUAUGUGUAGUGUUAUAUUUCCUUCUUGUAGAGCUCUGAUGACCAUGGAAUUAUGUAUAUUAAGUUAAAGAGUUUACUUUUCACUUAGGUCUAUGACCCACGUAGAGAGAGUUUAAUCUUGGUUGAUGUUCAUGUUUAAGUAAUGCCAUUGAAUACUUGGUUUGGGUUGUUUAAUUACUGCUAUGACUUGGUUUAUGUUGUGGGGAGUGAAGAACUCCAGGAGUGGUGGUUGGUUAUUAUAGUUGAAGUGCUUCGGUUUUUUUUUUUCAGGAUGGGUUGUCCAUUUUUAGGGGAGGUUAUGCCGAAAUUUCGGUAUAAUCUCUUUUAAGAGUGGACCCCGCAAGACUUGCCUAUUUUACUAUGUGUUUUCGGGGCGGGUCUUGUCAGUUUGUUCCCGAUCGAGAUACUUACAUUGGAAGGGUGCCACUUAGUUCUUUUGGGUAUUUACUUUAAGAUUGGAAUUGAAGUGAAAACACGGAGAAGAACUAGGCUCGUUUCCGAUUUGAGCUUUAAGAAGCUCAGGUAUUAAGUAAGGGUGAGGUUUCCAGGUUUAUGCUUUUUUACUGCAUCAAUUUUCUUACUUUGAUAAUAUCCUUGUUGAUUUUUACUUUGGAAUAUAUAUUGGUCAAAAUUUCUAGUAGUGUAUAUAACUAUAUAUGGUAUGUUUUUUGUCAAUUCAAUGGUAUAUGAAUUAUAAAUUUGAUUAGUUUAUGCCUUUAUGGUUUGUCAAUUAGUUUGGUUCAAGAUUUGAGAAUCAUCUUUUUGUGUUUAUGUUCGAGUGUUAGGAAUUCAAGAGGGGCAUGAAAGAUUUGAUUGGCUUCUGCAUCAGCAGGGAACUCUGGUUUCCCUAGUACUACAUGCAAUGUUGCUCCCUGGAUCCUCAUUGUUGCUGCAAGCAUUUUGGAUAGAGAAUUCCAUUCAAACGUGUAUCUGGGAAAUUCACAAAUAUUAAAAGUAUAGUUGGCAUACAAAUAUUGUUGCGGCCUCUAAUCAUCAAUCACAUAAAACUACAAAUGUAACUUACCUAUCGCUAUGACUUUUAGGUUCCUCUCUAAACCCACUCGAUAUGGAGAAGUCUUACGGUUUGAUAGCUGUGAGUGUUGCAGCUGCCCCUAGAGUCACAACGAACAAUGCAAGGUAAUCUUUCUUUUCAAAAACUUGAUGCUUCAACACACACACACAACUAAAGUUGACUUUUUCUUUCGUUUGGAUUUCGGGAAAACUUUCUUCAUGAAAAUUGUGGAGGAAGUUAAUACGAGUUCGUAGGCAUGCUAUGCGUUAAAAUCGGAGUUAGCAUGGAAAAGUUAUCAAUUAAAAAGGUAAAUUUUGAGUUGGUAAAAAGGGGGGUAAAAAUUAGUGGGUAUUUUUUUUGGGGGUUUAAGUUGUUGGACCGGGUGUGGGCAGCCCAACACCCCCCUCACUCUCUCUCUCUCUCUCCCUCUACCUUCUCUCUCUCCCUCCCGUGCACUGUCCCGACCCGUUGGAAACCAAGUCUCCGUCCGCCGUCGUCCGGCCGCCAGAGACCGCCGGGCCACCUCCGUUCGGACCCCCGCCGUCCCCUCUCUCUUCCUGGGCCAGUGACCGGCCGUGUAAAGCCGCCGUUCGAGAGGAAGUUCGCCGGAGACGCGGAUUGCCCUUUUGCCCGAGUUCCCUCCUCCAGCCACCAUGGGUUGGAAUUUUUGGCUCAUCUUGUAGCCCUCAUCUAGGUAAGUAAUUCCUCAAAAGAAAUUAGUCUAAUUCGAUCUUGUUAUUGAGAAAUGUAUAAUUGAAGUUCUAGGGCUCAAUUUAAGGUUUUGGUUUGAUUAACCUAGUUAGGCUUAGAAAUGGACUUUGUGUUAGUUAAGGAAGUUGUUGUGUGGGUUGAGAGGAGUGUUGUGCUAAAAUUUGAGAAGCAUUGGAGGUCGCCUGAGUACAGCUGCCGGCCGCCGCUGCCCCUUAGGGGCAGUUUUUCAUGAUUUUGGGUUGGUUUUAAUAAGAGGAGUUUAUUGAAGUAUAGAUUGGAAGUUUUGGAGGAGUUUUGAUAAGGUUUGGGAUUUUUCAUUGGUUAAGGUUUGUGGCGGUUAUUAGAUUGGAAUUUCGGUAGUUGGUUUAGCAGGUUUUAAAUUCUAAGAAGGUUAAAUUAUGGUUUUCGGUAAGUGCGGAGUAAUGUGAGCCUUAUUAGAUUAAAAGUGGAGAAGUUGGGCAAGCGAGAUGAAUUAUAGGCUUCCUUUUAUUUCGGAAAGUUUAUUAAAGUAUUAUUCUAGUCUGGAGGCUUAAUAAUUAUUUAUUGUUCAGGACGUGAGGAGGAUCAUUUGGAGGAAGACUCGGGUCGUCGGCAGGCAUAGCCGAGCACUGUGAGCGAACCUUUGAUUUGAAUGCCAUGCAUGCACUAAAGUUUAAUUAAUUUCAAACGCAUAUUGGAGAUUUAAUGUUGUCUUGAGCAUAUUGGAGUUUUAAUAUUUUUCAUGGAUUAAUGAGUUCCAUUUUUUUUUCGGGAACUCUCUUGCUCAUUUUAUUUGACAUGUGGGACAUGUCAUGUGAUUUAUAUUAUUUUUAGGGAAGUGACAUUCUUGAUAUUUAUUAUUUUACUUCACCAUAAAGGGUUGAUAUAUAUUCAUUAUUGCUAGCUAAUCAUUAUUAGCGGGCGCUUAGCAUAGGUGAGUAGGGCGCUUAGCAUGUGACGCUAUUAUAGCUUGGGAGGCAACCGAUCGGUAUUUAUAUUUAUAUGUUAGCUAGCCAUUAUUAGCGACUACUCACCAUAGGUGAGUAGAGCGCUUAGCGUGGGAUGCUAUUAUAGCCUGGGAGGCUUAUCGUUAUGGUGAAACCUCUUCCCCAUUUUUAUUGAUUUAUUGAGAACCAAUGGGAUUGGUUCAUUAUUUUGUUUAGCUUUGUUUUCGGAAAAAUUUCCAAGAGUGACAUGUAUAAAUAUUUCCUCAAUGGAAAAUAUGGGAAAAACAUAAUUUUUGAUUUCAAGGCUCUAUCAUUAAGUCCGUAUUUUAUUAUUUAUUUUUGUCCACUCACUCUAACAUUUUAAAUGCUUCUCCCCUGGGCCUUUCGUUUUAAAUGCCCAGUCUGCAGAGUUCUGUUCGGCGAGAGUAGGAGGCGAGUCAUAUUUCCCAUCUCAUCCAGUUUUCUCUCGUAGGUUACUAGUUUGACCUACUUGUAUAUUUUCUCAUUUCCUAGUAGUUGCUCUGACCAUGGGAUGUUUUAUUUGAAUUUAUGUCAAGAUGUGUUAAGAGCCUAUGACUCCACUUAGGAGUGAUGAAAAAGGUUUAUUUGGUAUGUUUGUAUGAGAGAUUAUUUUGAAUUAUUAUUUUAGUUGAGGUGGUGGAUGAUUAUUUGGGGGAGCGAAUGGCUCCAGAAGAUGUGGAUUAAAUUGUUUUAGAAAUGUUUGGGUUGUUGGUGAUUUUUCUUUCAGGUAGGGUUACCAAUUUUCAAGGGAGGUUAUGUCAAAAUUUUGGUAGAAUUUCCCUCGAGGUGGGUCCCGCAGGGUUUAUCCCGGAUUUCCCCUUGAAAUCCGGGAUAGGUCCUAACACAUGGUGGUACCAGACUGUUUGAAGGUCAAAAUUGAUAACAAUUAACGUUGUUGAACUUGUAUUACUUGUAUAUGUAUUGUAAUUCAGAUCUUCUAGAAUUUGUUUUGUUUUUUGCUACUUCUCACUUUUACCUGAAAAAAGGAUGAUUUGAUUCACCUUUAUUUUUGAGGUGCCUGGGUGUGCAUAUAAAACUGUUUCUUCAGUUUUUCUGUGUUGGCUGCUCUCAUCACAAGCAUUUCUGUGUUAUGUUAAUUGACUUUGCUUUCCUAUAUCAACAUGCUGCUGGUAUCCCAAGGAAACUUGCACCAACCAUUGGAAUCUCAGUUGACCAUAGCAGCACUACUACAAAACCGGAAAUAGACAACGUUACUUAGAUAACGGUUUAACAAAAACCGUUGUGGUUUUUUUUUACAACUGUUUAGUUAAAACUGUUAUCUAAAGAGAUCACAAAAGUGUUGGACCCUUAAAUAUGAGUUUUCUCAUUUAGUUUGUACAACGGUGUGGCUAAAACUGUUGUCUAUAGAUAAUACAAAAGUGUUGUUUCCAUGGUUAGAAUUUGUAACUACAACUAACAACGGUACAACAAAGCUGUUAUUGAUCUUUAGUUGUUAGAGGUGUUGAUGCUCGAUUAGAAAUUUAUCUCACUAUCACCUAAAAAUAAUUAAUCUAAUCAAUCAAACCUAGCUGGGAAGUGAGAAACAAUUUAAGCUAGCUAGCUAUCAAAAAUUGCUGGUUUAAUUAUCAAUCGGAGAAAGAUAGAUGUUGGUUUAAUUAACUUAGUAUUAUAUUAAGAAGGGGAUUCAUGAUCUUGUAAAAGAAGGGAUUGGGCUUCUUAAUUAGUAUUAUAUUAAGAAGGGGAUUCAUGAUCUUGUAGCUACAACUACCCAAUCCAGGAAAAAAAGAAAAAAACCAAAAACAAAGAACGAUUCCUUCUCUUCGCCACGCAUAGCCUCUCACCACGGCGAGGGGUUCCCCCAUUUAAGAUUUCCGGUGUCGGGUACAUUGCAGUGCCACCGCUCCUCUGUUAGGAUUUGAAAGGCUGCGUUUGGUUCCCCGUCGGAAUACCACUUGCAUGGGCAAUCGCGACACCAUCUUCAUCACCGAAAACCCCUUGCUCCCCGUCGGAAUACCACUUGCAAAACAUCUUCUCAUACGGAAUGGUGUAUGGCGGCGGCGGCUUCGCCAUAAGGUACUCUGUGACGGUGGUAUUUUUUUCAUCUUCUUGCAAGUCCCAAUUUUGAUUUUUGAGUCAAAAGGCUAGGGUUAGAGUAGUGAUUAGUUAGUGAUUAUGCUACGAAUUUUGGGGUUAUGAUGAACUGGCAUGGCUAGCUAGGCAAUACUUUUUAUAUAAUUCGAUCAGUUCUCUCUAUUCUAAAUGACAAGUGUACGUAUAUGCUGAAAUUUUUGCCUCCAUUUGUUCCCUUCCUUUUAGUUUCCCUCCCUUUUUUUUUCCGUUCCCUGUUUCUAAACACGAUCACAAUAUAUAUACUCUUUAUGCUCCUCUUGUGAGUCAGUUAAGAAAAAAGAAAACAAAACUUCCUCGUCUAAAUCAAAGGUCCUUCCGGGUAACUGUGUUUCCAUUAUACACUGAUGUGAGAUUCAUGUUUAGAUAGAGUUUGUUUUGUGAUUUUCAUUGAUAAUUUUGGCUAAACUGUUAAAUGGGGUUUAGAGUUUCUAGUUGUUUGUCACUUUAUUUGAUGAAUAUGUUGAAAGUUUCUUUGUUUCUAUGAGUUAAUAAAAAGUUUCUUUUGCAGGUACAACAUAUUGUUUGUGAAGUUUACAUUUUGAGGAUGCCAAUGGGUUAGUUUAGGAUUCUGGAAUCAGUUAUUUGGAUUUUGCUUCAGAUAUAAUUUUCUCUACUCCAGAAUUUGUGUUUGGCUUUGUGCUUUGUUAGUUCUCUGUUUCUAUCACAGUUUGGAUAAUGAGGAUGCUAAUGAGUUAGCUUUUUUAUGAUAUUCAUAUUCUAAUGGCUGGGGGCUUUGGAUGGGGGGUCUGUGUGGGGAGGGGUGUGUGUGUGUGUUUUGGGGGGCGGGGGCGGCGGUGUGUGUGAAAUGUGAAAAUAGAGAGAUAGAGAGUGAGAAUGACUGAGAACUAUAACCAAUUUUAAUAUAUCUAAGAGUAUUGUGUACAUACAAAAAUAAGAUAUACUAAUAUUAAUACUCUAAGAUAUUCUAAUGCUAAUACUCUCAGCAUAUAUACUGUGUUUGCCUAAAUUUUUGUUCUUCAUAGCUUUAGAAGCUCAAAAAUAGAUGAGUUCAGUAAGUUUGAGUCCAAGUUUGUAUUUUUAAUCGAAAUUUAAGACACAUGUAUGAGUUUACACACUAAAGACAUGUUUUUGACUUUGAUGCUGUAUGAAAGUUUGAUACUUUAGUUUCAUGGACCAUGGUAUUGGUUUCUAUAGCUUUAAAAGCUGAAAAGAUGAAUCGGUUCUCUAAAUUUGUUUUUGUGUUGGAAGCUUGGAAUUGAUUAGUUUACUUUUUCAUGGGUAGGUUCACUUUCUUAAUUGCUGGUUUGCUAUUUGGGGAUGCUUCUUGGUUGUUAAAAGGAUUUGGCUUAUUGCGAUUCUGCGUCAGGUAAUUACUUUUUGUUUACUUUUUUCUUUUGUUUGUGUAGUGAAACCUGUGUAAUAAGAUGUCUGAUAUGUUUGUCGAUAUAUAUAUGUAGACAUGUGUUUUAACUUUUCAGUCAUGUUUUGUUUAAAUAUGCCUCAUAUGUAGUCGAAAUAUGUGAAAUGACUCUUUUGUUUUAUUGAAAUAUAUCAUUUAAAAAACUGAAAAUGUGAUUUCUCUAAUGAUCCAUCAUGUUAGGACCAAAACUUUUAUGUCCAUCUAAUUAGUUAUUUAUUUUCGCUUAAGAUGAAGUAUUGUUUUGUAAAUGGACCUAUUGUUCUUGUGUAAUAAUUUUAAGAUGGAUAAAUCAUGGAUGCUUGAGGACAGAAGAUCACGGGCAUAUGAACUAGGGUUUGAAGGGUUCUUGAAGUUUGCAGCAGAAAAUGCUACAAAUGAGAAUAACAUUCCUUGUCCUUGUUGGGAUUGUGGAAAUACGAAAGACUUUGGACGUGGAAUUAUCAAAGGUCAUUUGUUUAGCUAUGGUAUCACACCAACCUAUCAGAAUUGGAUAUGGCAUGGAGAACCUUCAAAAUCAGCUUCCAAUUUGGACUCUCAUGUUGAUAGUACACAUAAACGUGGACCUGGAAAUACACAUGAAGCUGAAGCUGAUAGGGAAGAUGAUCAUGAACCUGUGAUUGACGUUGACUCAGGGUAUAUGGAUGGUAAUGCAUAUGAUGAUUCUAGAAUACACCAUAAUGAGUUUACCGAUUUCUUUGAGAAUGCAGAUCAGCUCUUGUUUCCUGGUUGUAAAAACUUUACCAACCUAUCUGCCCUUUUGGAAUGCUAUAAGUUGAAAGGGCAAUUUGGGAUCAGUGAUACUUGUUUCACUUCAAUGUUAAUUAUGAUUGGGAAAUUUCUACCUGAAGGUCAUGGGAUACCUUCUACUAAGCAUCAAGCAAAGAAGGCUUUGACCAUUUUGAUUAUGAGAAAAUCCAUGCAUGCAGUAAUGAUUAUAUCUUGUACAGGGGUGAUUAUAAGAAUGCAAAAACUUGCCCUACGUGUGAUAUCUCGAGGUACAAGCUAGGCAAGGAUAACAUAGUGAAGGAGGGGGUCCCUGCCAAGGUGUUGUGGUACUUUUCACCCAUUCCUAGAUUUCAAAAGAUGUUCAAAACCAGUGAGAUAGCUGAGAAUUUAAUUUGGCAUGCAAGUGAUAGAGAAAAUGACGGCCACAUGCGUCAUCCUGCUGAUUCUCCACAGUGGAAACUAGUAAACCAUAAGUGGCCUGAAUUCGGUAAAGAAGCAAGGAACUUGAGACUUGCUCUUUCAACAGAUGGUUUCAGUCCCCAUCGUGCACUCACUGGCUGACCUGUUGUGUUGGUCACUUACAAUCUUCCGCCUUGGUUAUGUAUGAAAAGGAAAUUCAUGAUGCUAACGUUGCUUAUUUCAGGUCCUAAACAACCUAGAAAUGAUAUAGAUGUUUACUUAGCACCUCUAAUUGAUGAUCUGAAAUCUCUUUGGGUUGGAAUUGACGGAGUGUAUGAUGCAUAUAGAUCGGAGUACUUCAAACUUAGGGCUGUUUUGUUAUGGACAAUCAAUGACUUUCUAGCUUACGGGAAUUCGUCGGGACAAAUUGUGAGAGGUUAUAAUGCAUGUCCUAUUUGUGGUGAAGAAACAGAUGGCCAUAGAUUGAAGCAUUGUCGCAAAAUUGUUAUUAUUGCAAAUCGAAGAUUCUUGUCUCGCCAUCAUCCAUAUCGGAGAAAGCUUACAGUAAAUGGAAGAGUGUAAUUGAGACCAGCUCCUGUGCCUUUGACUGGACAUCAAAUAUUGCAAAAGGUAGAAGGAUUUGAACCUAAUUUGGGGAAGACAACAGCUGAUCAUGAACAUGCAGAUGAUAGUGUCAAACGCUGCUGGAAGAAGAAAUCAAUUUUCUUUGAGCUCGAGUACUGGGCCGAACUUUAUGUGAGACACUGUCUUGAUGUUAUGCACAUCGAGAAGAACAUUUGUGAUAGUAUACUUGGUACUUUACUAGAUAUACCUGGGAAGACGAAAGAUGGAAUCGUAGCCCGUUUGGAUCUCGUCGACAUGGGCAUAAAGCUUAAUUUGAAACCCAAAGACGGGGAAAAGAAAUUGCCUCUAGCUUGGUGGAAUCUAACAAAGGAUGAGAAGAGAGUUGUAUGCCAUAGUUUGUUUGGCAUGAAGGUUCCUGAAGGUUAUUGUUCAAACAUAAGAAGUCUGGUCUCCUUACAAGAUUUGCGACUUCUUAACAUGAAAUCACACGAUUGUCAUGCCUUAAUGCAAGAAUUGCUUCCAAUUGCUAUACGUUCAGUUUUGCCUAAACAAUUGAGGUAUGCAAUCACCAGAUUAUGUUUCUUCGUUAAUGCCAUAUGUGAUAAGGUGGUGGAUGUUUCUAAGCUGGAUAAGUUACAAGAGGAUGUAGUGAUUACAAUAUGUCAACUUGAGAUGUACUUUCCUCCUAGUUUCUUUGAUACUAUGGUACAUCUUGUUGUACAUCUUGUUAGAGAAGUUCGACAAUGUGGACCGGUCUGUUUUAGAUGGAUGUAUCCUUUCGAAAGGUUUAUGAAAGUGCUAAAGGAUUAUGUACAAAAUCACAACAAACUAGAGGGUUGCAUGGCAAAGUGCUAUAUUGCUUUAGAGCACUGCUCAAAAUAUUUAUCUGAUCCUAGUACGGUUGGAAUCCCUUCAACAGAAAAGAAUGACAUAUCACAGCCUACUUCAGCAGCCUUUAUAGAAUCAGUUUCUGAUGUCCUAUUCAACCAGGCCCAUCUUACUGUAUUGGCAAAUACAAUUGAAGUUCAGCCAUAUAUUGAGUAAGUGAAAUGCUUCUCAUAAUUUAGUUAUUAUCUCUAUUUGUUUCAUUGUUUUCAUUAUGAAUCCAAUUGUAAUGUAUGGUAUGAACUUUAUUUCAGUGAACAUAUGGAAUAUUUGAAGGUGACUUAUCCGUCAUUCAAAAAGAGAGAUAGAUGGUUACAGGAGAAGCAUACGACAACCUUCGCUAAAUGGUUCCAAGAGCGUGUAAGGGCUGAUUCUUUUUUUUUCUUUUUUUUUNUUUUUCCUUUUUGACUAAAUUUAGUUUAAAUUUUUAAUUAGUUUUAAAGUGGUAUUACAAAGUAAUGCUUAUUUUUUAGUUACUUUGUUUUUUUUUUAUUUUUUUUUUUUUUAAUUUUUUUUUUUUUUUUUUUUUUUUUUUUUUUUUUUACUACAACUUGAAGAUUGCGUAUGAGCUCGGGCGUGAGAAUCAUGGCAUAUCAGACACCUUAAGAUGGUUGGCUGACAAACCAAACAAACAUGUACUUAAAUAUCACGGGUACAGAGUCAAUGGGGUUCAGUUUCACACUAAGGCACGUGAUAAUGUGCGAUCUGUACAGAAUAGUGGAGUGAGACUAUUUGCAAAGGCUAUGCAAGUUGCUGGUCGAAAAGACAAUAACCCUUUUGUUUCAGACAUGUGGCUCUAUGGUGUCAUUCAGGAUAUCUGGGUUCUUGACUAUACUAAGUUUACGGUUCCUGUUUUCAAGUGUGAUUGGGUUGCGGAUAGUGGCAUUAAAGUGGAUGAAUUAGGAUUUACUCUAGUUAACUUGAGUAAGGUUGGUCAUAAGCGUGAUCAGUUCGUUGUUGCUGAUCAAGCCAAACAAAUAUUUUAUGUUGAAGAUCCUUUGGAUUCUAGAUGGUCUGUUGUAGUAUUGACUCCUGAUCGAGAUUAAUUUUGGUGCAAUGAAACAUAUUAAUUUAACUAAUCGACUUGUGAUUCAUUUUAAUGCAGUUGGCAUUUGUGCUUGGUCCAGAAAGUAAAAGACUAGUGUUAUCAUCGGCAGCAUGUAAAUGGAGAGAAGUCAAGUCUAGAUUGACGAGUCAAUAUAUUCUUCCCUUUAAAGAAGACAGGGAACUCUUAUCCUCUCCCCCUGAGGAGUACAACUUCAUUGAGCUAGGAGACUGGAAAGCAUUUGUAUCUUCUAGGUUAACUGAGGAUUGGGAGGUAAGUUAAAUGUUCUUGUAGUGUCAAUGUAGAUAAUGGUCGAUUUCAAUUCUUGGCACAUUAAUUGCAUAUUUGGUGCAUGUCUCUUUGUAGAUUCUACAUAAUGACAUUGUACGAGUAUCCUCAUCGUAUGUCACGGUUAGGAUACGCAGGCUUAGAAGAUGAAUUGGUUAGUAUGCUUUGUUUUUUUUUUUUUCUUCUUUUUUUCCUUUGCAAAGAGUUGGUUAGUACACUUGUAGUAAAAUGAGUGUAUCAAUAUGAUUAUCAUUAAAAACAAAAGUUACUGAAUGUAUUCUUUUUUCUUUUAAGUUGAAAACAAUGGUUCCUAAAGAUAUCGAUCGUGCUACACUGUGGGAGAAAGCGCGUCAGGAUAAAUCUGGAAAUAUCCCAGAUGGAAAGGCCAAAUAAUUGGCAGAUAGAAUUGUAAGUUAAAAACUUUUUACUUUCUCUUUUUAGAUAAAAUAGUACCAUUUGGACAAUUUAAGUUACUGUAUAUUUCACAUGAAUUUCAAAUUAAGGAGUGAUAUCUUAUUUAUUGGUUAGCACUUUGUCAUAUUCUCAAAUAGUAAACCUAUUGGUAUUUAAUCUGUGGUUUUUCAAUUACCACUACAGUUGAGUUGUUUUCAUUGCUGUUGUGUAUCUUGAUUUGAUAGAGUCGAGUAGUUUUCCUUUUCAAAAUUUGUUAUCUACUUAUUUGUUGUUGAUGUUCAGGAUGAAUUAAAGAAACAAGUGAGUGAUGGGAUGUUGAAAGUAGAAGGUAGUAAUGAUGUGUUGAGCAUGGCAUUGGAAACAUCUGAGCAUGGCGGAAGAGUUAGAGGAGUGGGAGGUUAUGUGACUCCAACUGCUUAUUUCAACCAACCUAGACUCCGGAGAGAGAACGUUGAGGAGGUUGUUAGAGAGAGUGUUAAAAAGAUACUUGACAAAGAGAGAAAAUUGUGACAGAUCUGAAUAAAUUUUGGGCGGAAAGGUUUACAGACUUGGAGGCAGCCCUAAAGUCAAACUCUCAUCAAAAUGGCCCAAUUCCUUCCCAGGUUCAACAUACUCACCAAAUUGUUGGGAAUGCAUUUGAGAGGGCCAGUUCCUCAUCUGCCAAGGGGGACAACAUGGAAGAUCUUGAAAAGCAGUUUGUCCAUGAGCAAGACAAUGGAGAAGAUAAAAGGCAAAAUUCAAAGGUAUAUAUUGAAUACCAUAACUAGUUCAACUAAUUAAGUAGACUUUAAGACUUGGUAGGAGCUGAUCUUUAGAAUUAUUAUGUGUUUGUUUUGUUCUUGAAGGGAAAACCAUGCAAGUUAGCUGUUGACUUGGUUGAUAAUAUAGUUGCAUGUGGUACCGUGCUAGAAGUUGAUUCAACCAACCCAACCAUUCAUGGUGUUCCUUUAGGCAAAGGCAAUGAGCGGGUUGUGAUUGAUAUAGUUAUAAAUGUUGAAGCAUUAAUGCCUUUCCCUAUUAAAGACGAUGACAUAUUCACUGUAGGCCAAGCUGUGGGUUAUGUGAUGGCUUAACCUAAACAUCUAGUCAUAUUAGCAGGACAUGAGGUGAUUAAACACUUUUACAUUUUUUUUUUUUUUUGAAAAUAUAUAUGGAGGUUUCAUUAUUAAUAGGAAUUAUUGAUCUCUUUGGUAUUGUUGUAGAAUCCUAAAAAGCUUAAGCAUACUGUUGAAAAAAUCGUUGAAGCACCACAGUUGGACAUUAAUGGAAUGCUAAAGUCAUUGAAAGUUUUAUGCCGUUAUGCACAAAAUAUGAUCAAGAUGAAUGGGAAAUGCAUUAUGUUUGAUAUGGAAGAGAAAGUGUUUGGAUCUUCUCGACCCACUCACAUCUUGAAUGAAGAUAUUUUAUAGCUUGCAGGCAUGGAGAAAUUAUCAGCCACUUGCAUAGUAAUUUAUAUGAGGUGAUAUGUACAUUCCAAAAUAUAUAUACAUAUAAUAUAUAUUUAUGUGUGUGUAGAAUAUAAUUUAGCAUACAUGUUCAUCUUUUAUUUUGUAAUAUGUCUGUAGAUAAUUUUAUUUGAAUUUGAAACAUCAUAGGUACUUAUACACUGUGCUUGAAGUGUUAGACAUGAUAGACUCUUUUACUUUUGUGGAUCCUGCUGUAAUCUCUGCUCCAUGGUGUGGGACAACCUUUGUAAGAUCUCGUAAGUUAGCUGACCGAUUCAAAGGAGCACAAAAUGAUCAGAUGUUCUUUAUCCCUUACAACUCUGGGUAAGAAAAAGUAAACAUGCUUUAUUUACUAGUAAUACUAAUUAUGAAGUUCAUUACGAUACAUUAUUUUGUUAUGCAGUGAUCAUUGGAUGUUAACGAUUGUCCAUCCGGUCAAAGAGAUGGUCUACUUUGUUAACUCAUUUUAUUAGAGCAUAACAGACAGUGAAUGGAAACAUGUUGUGAAUGAGUAAGUCAUUUCUAACUUCACAUUUAAAAUUUAUAUAUUGUCUUCACCUUAAAGUUAUAUCUUACUUACCACUUCUAAUAGUUUACAUUAAUUUAUUGAUCUAACCAGUGAGGUUCUGUUAUUAAAAAUUGUAGCUUUGGUAUGACUACUGGUUAUUUUGAUUUUGAAGAUAUAUAUUGAAAAUUGAGACCUUAGCUUGUUGUGAGCCUUAGCUAAAUUCGAAGUUAUUGCAUGAACUUCUUAUCCUACAUCUCAUUAAAUGAGCAUGUAUGAUUCAUAUUUGUCAGUUUUUUUUUUUUUUUUGAAGUGCCAUUAAUAUAUUCAAUCGGCAAAGGAAUAAGCAAGGACGUAAAACUCCACCAUGGAAAAUCCUGAUGGUAUGUUUAAAUUUAGAAUAUACCUUUCUAUGAAAUGAAAUUCAGAUAUGUUGGUUUCAGUGUUAAUAAUUUAUUGUUACUCAUCCUCUAGGGUGCUCCAAAGCAACCAACAAACACAGAAUGUGGCUAUUAUGUCAUGCGCGUUAUGAGGGACUUAAUAUAUGGAAAUAUUCAAGAUCUAUUAGCUAUGGUAUGUUCAUUAUUUAAGUUGUUCAGAGUUGAAAAUUGUGUCUAUAAAUAUUAGCUCAAACCCAAUGAUUUAUGCAGUAGCUAGCUUCAAACGUUUCUGUGAUGGAUCUUGUUUUGUUUUGGUUUCAUUUGCUUUGAAGGUUUCCAGCUAUGAAUCUCAUGACAGUAGUUCUUGUACAGUUCAUGUUUUUUGGGAUUUUAUUUCUAAAACUUGCAUAAGCACAAUGAUGACUACUGCAUAUGCAUUUUAAUAAUCCAUUAUAUAUUCAUUUGUCUUUCUCUUGUUUAUUUCUUAGUGGGAAGAAGAUGUGGAGACCACAUAUCUUCAAGAGGAAAUCGAUGAAGUCCGUGAUGAAUGGGCGGAAUUUGUUAGCGAUGAGUACCUUUAGACUUUUGCAAUGUGGAUCAUCAGAGAAGAAGAAAAAACUUCUGGUUAAUUUAUUGGCCGUGUUAUGCUCUCUUCAUUCAAGUCAGAUUCAGAUAGUUUUCUUUGGUUUAACUAAGUGUCUAGUACUGAACUUCUUUGAUUUGUAGCAAGGUUUACCUUUUUCCUUUAUGACAGCUAGUGUUAAUACAUAACCAAAACACUUAGCAAUGCUGAGAAUGUGACAUGUCUACCCAGUCGUCGGAGAUCAUUCCGGCCAAGAUGCCAUGGACAAGAGCUCUAUGCACACCCAAAGAUCGGAGCCACAACAACAAUGUACAUGCCAGACCUAGUUGGCAACUGCUAAACACCCUGAAAAGGGAGGGGACUGAACAAUACCACGAAACAGUCCCACAUUGGAAACUAAUGACAAAACCCCGAUACUAGCCUAUAAAACAGGCACAAAUCCCCAAAAGAGGUAAGUUCUCUAUUCCUCCCAUACUCCAGUACUAUACAAGUAGCAAUCAAACGCUGACUUAAGCAUCGGAGAGUCGAAGACUGGGCCACCCCAGUCCCCGACUCCUGAUGUAUUGUUGCUUGUGCAGUUACAUGACUUGGAGCAAAGGAUUCGACCUCCCGUCCCUUGAACUCGGGAGAGGUAGAAACAAUUGGCGCUAGAAGGAGGGGUCCCUUUUGUGGAACUCCCAUUUAACUUAACAGGAUGGUGGAAAUUGUGGAUGACCCAAACGAACUCGGGACUCAGAUAGAAAAAAAGCUUUUCCAAUCUAGAGACACAUCCCAUAAUCAAACUACCACUACUGCGGCCCCCAUUAACCACCCCGAUGCCGUCACGGCCAUUGAAAUUUUGAAAAAAGACUUCCACGCGUUCCGAGAGCAAGCAGCUAAGGAAAGAGCGGAAGCUGAAGCGUGGCAGGUUCGUAUCGCCGAACUGGAAAAAGAACAAUUCCUACUACGCGCCACUCUAGAUCACCGCAACAACUAUAAUGAAAGUCUGGAUCGGGUAGCAAAGGUCACUCCCACCCCGGACGCCACCCUGACAUCUCUUUUUCCUAGCCAAGGACAAAAUAGUUCCGUGAUCCCAGGAGGCCCUAACCAAAUUAUUUAUGUCACUCAUCCACUCAUCCACUCACCCACCAGUCCUUUCCACUCCCAGCCCCUCAACCAUCCACAAUCAAUAACGAAUCCAUUCCCCUGAUAAACCAGCCUGAGCCAUCUGUCCCACCCAUCCCUAAUCUCAACUCUACUAACACUGCUACCCCACCUUUUGUCACAUCUCGACCCUUAAAUUUUUACUUUAUUUAUUAGCUUGGUUAUAAUAAGAAUUUUACCGUCUCCUUCAUUGAGGUUAUAGUUGAAUUGGUCCCUAGAGGGGUUUGGGGACGGUUAUUUUUGGAGGAUUAUUCGUAGCAGAAAAUAUUAACGACGGUAAAAAUGGUAAACUUUUAGCUAGUAAAAGGUAAUUUUUAUUAGGGUAUUAUUUUUGGGGUGUAAAUUUUGGAGUUGGGUUUUGUUUUAAAGGGUUGGACCGGUUUGGUGGAGGCCCAAACCUCAUUUCUUCUCUCUCUCUCUUCUUCUCUCCCUCCCGACUCACUCCCUCUCCCGCUGUCGGAUCUUCUCGCCGUCCGUCCGGCCACCAUCCACCGCCGCUCCGGUCCCGUUCGGUCAGCCUUUAACCCAGCUACCUCCUUGGACCGGUGACAGCCCCCUUAGCGCCGCCGUGAGAGAGAAACGACUCCCGGAAACGCUAGCUGUCGUGUUGGUUUUCUCGUCGGAACUUCCUCCUCCGGCCACCAAUCCGAGCAAGCCUUAUAUGGUUUUGAAGGUUUCCAACCCAGUUGCCUUGCCGUAGAAGGACUCGGUCCAGUUUGCUUCAGGUGAGGAGAACCGGUGAGUGGAAGCUCUAGGGCUUUUUGUGUUGUUUUUGCUCGAUUUCCUUAGUUAGGUUUGAAAUUGAUGUUUGUGCUAGUUAGGAAAGUUGUAGAGGGGGUUAAGAGGAAGAUGCUGUCAAAAUUUCAUUGGCAUUGGAGGUCGCCGGAGUCGGCCUCCGGCCGCCGCUGUUUGGGAGAUUUUAAUGGUUUUAGAUGUGGAAUAUUAAGGGGAGUUUAUUGAUGUAAUUAUGGAAUUUUUGGAGGAGUUUUGGUUAGGUUUGUGAAUUUCCGAAGUUUGGUAUUUUUGGCGGUUAAUUAAUGUAGAAUCCAUCCGUUGGAUUAAAGUUGUUUAAACUGUGAGAAGGUGUAGUUACGACUGCUGGUUCUAGGGUUGAGGUGUGGACCAUUUCGAAAUUAGGCAGUGAUGAGCAUGUUUAGGGCUCUCGGUUAAUUUUUGCCUAUUUUGUGUAAAUAUUGGAAUUUCAGCUGGGAAAUUAAUAUUAUAUUUGGAACAGGUCGUGAGGAGGCUCGAGUAGACGAGGCCCCAGAUCGACAUCAGGCUUAGGCCUAAUUUGUGAGUGGACUUUUGUUUUAAAUAAUGUGCAUGCGAAAUAAUUUAUGUUGUUUGAGAAUAACCGAAAUUGAGAAUUUCGGUGAGUAUAUAUAUAUAUAUAUCCAUAUUUGGAUGAUUAUGAGAAUAAUAUGUAUAUGAAAGAAUGCUAGCUAGCUAGCUAUACGUGUUUUUCCACCAUACUGAGGUAAAAUUCCAUUAUGGUGCGACGUGAGCGUUAGACGCAAUCGUCGUAGCCCUAUAUAAAUAUAAUAAUUUAUAUAGGGGAUAUGCGCUUAUAUAUUUAUACACCGUCUUUUCCACCAUAAUGAGGUAAAAUGCCAUUAUGGUGCGACGUGAGCGUUAGACACAAGCGUCGUAGCCUUGUGUGAAUUUUCUGUUUGUCUUUGUUGUUUCAAGAAAAUUCAUACAAGGGAUAUGACGAGUGUAAUACUUACAUAUUUUAUUUUAGCCUGAGAUGCUCUAUUUUUAUGAAGUGUUGGUGACUAGCGCGGCUAGUCACGUUUCGGUAAAUUCGGUAAAUUUUUAAAAGCUUUUGAGCUUGUUGCAUGCCAUUAAUUGUUUUUCCACAAAAGUUAAAUCGGGAAAGCAUAAAAAUUUAUUUGUUUUUAAAUUUAUUUUUGUCCACUCACUCUAACGGUUUCAAAUGUCUUCCCUUGGGCCAUUCUUUUUAAAAAUGCCCAGUCUGCAGAGUUCUGGUUGGAUCUAGUAGGAGGCGAGACAUAGUCACCCGCAUUUCCACCACCUUUCAUCAGUAGGUUAUCUAUUUAACCUACCAGUGUUUUUCUUGCUUCCUCUAGUGUCUAGUAGCUCUGAUUUUCUCUUGGGAAUAUUGUAUGACAUUAUUUCGGUUGUGGGCGAAGACUUGAUUACAUUUAGAAUAUUUCAAGGAAGAUGUAUGCUAUUUUAGCGGGAUAAUUAUGUGAUGAUAUGGAAGUUGAUCUUUUUAUUGUUAUUGGUAGUGGUUGUAUUUGGGGAGCACGUAGGCUCCAGAAGUUAAGGUUGGCUUGAAAAUUUUUAGGAGUGUUUGCAGGUUUUUGUUAGGAAGGGUUGUCCAUUUUCAAGGGAGCGAGGUUAUGCCGAAUUUUCGGUAAUAAGUUCCUUGGAGGUGGUCUCCGCAGGAUUUACUCCGGGUUUUAGGGUAAAAUUCGGGGUGGGUUCUGACACCUCUCACAUGUAAACUCAACUUCUCCUCUAGCUCAGCAAUUCUGUCACUCAGUUGGCCUCGCGAAUUGAAGGUGUUGAGAGUCGCGGGAGCCAGCGACCUCUAUUCUCGGGAUAUGGACAUCGCCCAAGCCCCUUUACGCCACGAGUACAAAUGGAAAAGAGGCCACCCGAGGCCAAGCCUUUCGAGGUGGACAAAUAUCAGGGCACCAGGGACCCCCAUCUUCACCUUGAAACAUUCCUCUCGUUAUGCAGUUCCACUCGGUACACAGAUGCCAUGGCCUGUCAUGCCUUCCAAGAAACCCUCUCAGAUGAGGCGCUUAGUUGGUUCCUUAACUUGCCUCCCAACUCCAUUGACAAUUUUGACCAGCUCUCGGAACACUUCCUCAACCGAUUCAUACUCCAUGCCAGCAUUUACCGCAGUGUGGAUGCCUUGUUCCACAUCAAGCAAAAAGAGGGUGAAGAACUCCAUGAGUUACUGUCCCGGUGGCAAUCAGCCAUGGCACGCUAUCACAACUUGGAGCCCCGAAUCGCUGAACAAGCUUUUCGCCAAGCCUUGCUUCCCGGUAGCUUCCUCAUGGAGAUUAAUAGGAACCCUCAAGGGUCAUACGAUGCCUUGAUAGACCUUACUGUCCGCUGGGCACGUGCCGAGUUUGCCACAUUUGGACAUUCUAACCCCACCACUAUAUUAGCACUCCCAGCCCCACCCCCCAAAGCAACAAACCCAACAAAAGUAUGACCAUUAUGACCAAGGGCAAGACAAAGGCAAGCAACAUCACAGCUCCCAUGAUAACAACCAGGGGAGCGGUUCAGACCGUCGCCACAGUGGGCAGCGGGGACGGGACCAUCCUUAUCGGUCCCGGGAGCCGAGCCUCCAACAACAGCAACGUUGCUCCUCCCCACCACCUCGUUACAAGGUCCACACAGCCUUAACCACUACAUAUGACGAUAUAUGGGCCAAGCACAAAGAUCUCAUUCCCCUGCCACUUAAGAGCAAGUAUCCCAAAAAGCCCCGGCGUGCAACAGGGAACAAGUAUUGUGCUUAUCAUGAUGACAACGGCCACACCACUGAGAUGUGCCACGGCCUCCGCAAUGCCAUAGAGCACUUGAUUCGUAAUGGCCAACUCCAUCAGUAUUGCACUCCCGCCACGGGAGCUAACGCCAUUGAAGUUCACGGUCAGAUCUUAACCAUACAUGGCGGCGCCCUGCGACUCCCUCCUCGUCAGCCUUUUGCAAAAGGGCAUUGUACGAACCAUUUGGAGAUUCUUUAAAUACAAAGAGGUGUCACCACCACCCCAUCAACAUGGGACCAGGUGUCAUUUUACAAGAAGGAAGAUACGAUCAGUUGCCACCACAAUGAACCCUUCAUAAUCAAUGUCUAGGUGGAUCACUAUAGGUGUCAUAGGGCCCUCGUGGACACAGGAGUUGCGGUCAGUGUGAUGUUUGCUGAUUGUCAUAGAGGACUCCGGCAUGACCGAGCUAAGUUAUAUAACAACCAUGAUCCCCUUGUCAACUUCUCAGGAGAGAUUGUGCAGCCCUUAGGCUCGUACCGCUUGAUUGUGUCAGUAUGGACUAGUCCUUGCCAUGCUUCCAUCACAGCACGUUUUCUCAUAGUUGAUUGCCCCUCAUCUUACAACCUCAUCCUGGGUCGUGACAUCCUGUAGGGACUGCAAUGUUUCAUUGCAGGUCACAUGCUACUCAUGAAGGUGCCUACUCCAGGAGGCAUACUCAUAAUCCAAGGGGAUAGAGCCGCCAUUGAACAUUGCCAUCUUAAUGCCAUCCAACAGGGACGUAGCGCCUAUGAGAUGUUGCCACUUAGCCCCUCGGAACCCAUUGAUGACCCCAGGGAUGACCCUGAAGGGAAAGACAAGAAGCAAGCCCUGAGACCUAACCUGGGAGAGGACACAGAAUGGGUAUCCCUGUCACCCAGUGCUCCCGAAAGGAAGGUCCACAUCGGCACGAGCCUUAACCCGGAACUCUGCAACAAGCUCAUUGCCUUCCUCCAGGAUAUGCAAGCAGUCUUUGCUUGGUCCUAUGCCGGCAUGCCAGGCAUCUCCCCUGAUGUCAUCACGCACAAACUUAAAGUCCUCAAGGACUAUCCCCCUGUCAAGCAAAAACGGUGUGCCUUUCACCCGGAGAAGUAUCGAGCCAUCCAGGCCGAGGUCCAGCGAUUAAAAGAAAUCAAAUUCAUACGUGAGGUCUCAUACCCAACAUGGGUUUCCAAUGUAGUCAUGGUCCCCAAGCCUAAUGGCAAGUGGCGAAUGUGUGUCGAUUACAUUAACCUCAACAAGGCAUGCCCCAUGGACAGCUUCCCUUUGGCACAAAUUGACCAGCUAGUUGAUUCCAUAACUGGCUUCAAGAUGCUCAGCUUUCUGGAUGCCUACACGGGAUAUAACCAAAUCAAAAUGCACCCCACAGAUCAAGAACACACCACUUUUGUCACGGACAAGGGACUGUAUUGUUACAAGGUCAUGCCCUUUAGCCUCAAGAAUGCGGGAGCAACUUAUCAGAGGCUGGUCAAUGCCAUGUUUGAAGAAGAAAUUAGGGAAGUGAUGGAGGUCUACGUGGAUGACAUGCUGGUCAAAAGCAAGGCAGUUGACGACCACAUUGCCAACCUUGACAAAGUCUUCACUAAGCUCCUGGCUCACGAGAUGCGCCUCAACCCCCAAAAGUGUAUUUUGGUUGUUAGUGGCGGAAAGUUUUUGGGUUUCAUGGUCAAUGAAAGAGGCAUUGAAGCUAACCCAUAAAAAGUACAAGCCAUACUUGACAUGACGAUCCCAAGGACUCGGAACGAGGUCCAAUGCCUCACGGGACGCUUGGUAGCCUUGGCUCGUUUCAUCUCCCGCCUCACAGACAAAUGCAACCCAUUCUUCCAACUACUAAAAACCCAAUACAAGGAGAAUGUGGCAUGGGGCCCGGAACAUGACGAUGCCUUCAACAAUAUCAAAGCCUACCUUGCAACAGUCCCUCUUCUUUUCAAGCCUGUCCCGGGAGAAGUACUUUACUUGUAUUUGGCUGUUUCCGCUACUCUGAUAUUAAAAAACUGGCUCUAGCCCUCAUCAUCGCAGCCAGAAAACUUGGACAAUAUUUCCAAGCUCACACUAUCCAUGUCCUAACCAAUCACCCUUUGCGGCAAAUACUCCAAAAGCCUGAAACUUCAGGGGGCAUGGUAAAAUGGGCAAUCGAAUUGGGGGAAUUUGACCUACAUUCCAAACCGAGAACAGCCAUAAAAGGACAGGCUGCCGCGGAUUUCAUUGCUGAGUUCAUCCCCAUGAACCCAGACAAUCCAGACCCGGAAGCCCUCCCCCGGGACGCCAUCUAGGAACUCCACAUUGAUGGAUCUUCCAACAACAGACUCAGUGGAGCAAGGAUAAUAAUCACAGACGCAAAGGGGAAUUCGUACGAAUAUGCUCUCCAGUUUGAAUUCAAAGCAUCCAACAACAUAGCUGAAUAUAAGGCUUUCAUAGCCGGCAUCCAGCUUUGUCGAGAACUCGGAACCCUGCACAUCCACAUAUUCAGUGAUUCUCAGCUUGUGGUCAAUCAAGUGGCAAGAGACUUCAAGGCCAACCAGAACAACCUGGGAUCGUACAAAAGUCUAGCUGGUGCCCUCCUACAACACUUCACAUCAUACAAACUCACACAAAUCCCAAGGGCCAAAAACUCCAAGGCAGAUGCUCUUGCGAGACUCGCCACAACCCCUCCCGAGUCCACGCCACCAGAUGUGCACAUAGAAAUCGUGGAUGGACCCAUAUGUGGCCUUCCUUUCUAAUGGUACCUUGCCCUAGGACAAACACGAGGCACAGCGGUUGCGCCACAAAGCUUCACUCUACCUGCUUAGAGGCGGGAAGCUAUACCGCCGUGGUCAGUCGUGUCCCCUUUUAAGGUGCUUGCCUACAACAGAAUGGCACAAGGUGUUGAAAUCACUCCAUAGUGGUGUCUGUGGAAACCAUGCGGGAGCUCGGAACCUCAUGUCCAAAGCACUAACAACUGGAUACUAUUGGCCAACAUUAGAACAAGAUGCAAAGGCAGUUGUCCAAGCAUGUCUUCACUGCCACAAAUUUGUAAAUUUUGCCCACCAUCCUCCUGUUCCAUUAUCUGUCAUCAUUUCCCCAGUCCCUUACAGCCAGUGGGGACUCGACCUCGUGGGACGGCUACCCAUAGCUCUGGGACAAUUCAAAUUUGCAAUUGUCAUUGUGGACUAUAACACGAAGUGGAUAGAGGCAGAACCCCUUGUCACAAUCACAACUGAAAAGGUGAUAAACUUUCUGUGGCACAAUUUAUACUGCCGGUUUGGGGUACCGCAGGCCAUCAUCACAAAUAAUGGAACACAAUUUGACAAUAACACAUUCAGAGAAUUCCUUUCUAAGCAAGGCACGGCAAUCUUCUAUGCCUCCCCAGCACACCCUCAGACUAAUGGCCAAGUGGAAGCCAUAAACAAGCUCAUUAAGCAAAACCUGAAGAAACGCCUAGAAGAUGCUAAAGGGUUAUGGGCGGCCAAGCUCCCAGAAGUCCUCUGGACACUUCGUACCACCCCAACAACAGCUACAAGUGAAUCCCCAUACCUCUUGUUCUAUGGCACCGAGGCGGUGAUCCCUAUGGAAAUGGAGGUCCCGAGUGAACGUGUCACAACAUACGAUCCCGAGACAAACGCCACGGGACUACGACUCAACAUGAACCUCCUCGAGGAACGCCGGGACAAAGCACAUCUCAGGAAUGUCAACUACAAACAAAAAGUUGCCCGACACUACAACAAGAAAGUUGUUUCCCAUCCUCUAAAGGUGGGUGACUAGGUCAUGAAAGAGGUCAUCCCUUACCCCACUGGACUCAAAGCAAAGUGGGAAGGCCCACUAGAGAUAGUCAAUGCCCCGGGACCAGCUACAUUCUAUCUCCGCGACACUGAUGGCCGAGUUCUACCUCGCCCCUAGAAUGCUCGACACCUCCACCUCUACCCUGUUUAAAUUAUUAGCACUCCAAAGCCAACAUGGCAGCUAGCACUUCAUUACUUGUGUACUUUAACCCGGUAGCGGCCCAAAUCAAAUGUACACCUUGCCCAUCAGCGGCCUAUCCUAAAUGAAGAUGCUACAUUUUCUCUUUUUUAACAUACCGUCCCAAGAACACGGCACUAAAUAACAACACAAGAUACACCACGAAUAAAGGCAUUUUAAGGUAAAAAUGUCAACCUGGACUCCCAGGCAAUCCAUAUAUAACUUGUUUAAAUGGCUAACCACGCCACCAAUAUUGUUUCACAAGAAAACAAGAAACUGAAAACUACUAGGAACAACAAAAAAAAAAAAAAAAAAAACAACUAACUUUUCCCGGAACGAACGCCCACUUGACUUGUUCACGCUCUCGCCACUCUUCAACCUGCUACCACGCCCACGGCUCUGGCUGAUGUUCACUGAAACCCUCUGACCAUAAGCAUGUUUAGAACAGUCACGAGAUAUCGGGGGAGGCCUCACGGAGACAUUAGGUCGCACCAGAGAGCUCACCGGUGGCACCUCAGUGACACGGGACUUGCUCGCUAGGAUCUUUUGCACUUCAGUACGAGGUGGCGCCACAGGCCCCAGUGCUUGAAGGAUAGAGGGUUCAACAACAGACGACGCAACCUGUGACACUGCCACUUGAGCGGAAGGGGAUCCCUCGGGACGUAGAGCCCUUAGGGGAGAAACAACCAUAGCAAACGGCCGAGGCGUGCCCACAGCCGGAAUUUCUUUGGGCACCGCAGAGGAGGUGGCACGCCAGGUCUCAUGCUGCUUUGCCAACGACCGCGAGAUCUCGGCUUGCUUCCUCUGUUCCGGAGUCAUAUGUUCCCAAGCCUUCCUCGCUGCAUCCCUCUCGGCAUAAAACUUGCGCAAAGUGAUACGAGCACAAACUGCUAUGUUUAUAAUGUGUUUCCUGCCCCAUUUAACUAUGUUAUUCUUAUAAUAAUGCCAUUUCUAACAUGUUUUGUGAGUAUGAAGGUAAAAGAGCAGAAAAGCAUAAAAGAAAGCUAAAACAGGCAAUUUAAGAAAAUUCCUAAUCAAAGGAGGAUUCUUGGUGCAACAAGGAGUCUCAUUAAGUCGCAAAAUUUGAGGAUAAGUCGUUUCGGAAACUUUCCUGUUUUGAAAAGGGAAACUUGCCUAUUUCAUUUUAAGAAACUUCCUUAUUUUGAUUUAGGAAACUUACUAUUUCUAAAUCUUUCCUAUUCUGACUUUCCUACAAUAUUUAAGAAACUUUCUUUUCUGAUGACAGGGAAACCAUUUGAAGUCAGGAAACCUAAUCCAACUCGGAAUAGGAAAUCCCCUUAAUUUCUGAUUUAUAUUAACACAUAAAUCCUUUGAUUAUUGCAGAAUUCAUCCUCCUCCUUUUAUACACGUUCACAGAUUCCUAUUCCGAGUUGGAUUAGGUUUCCCUGUCAUCAGAAAAGAAAGUUUCCCAAAUAUUUUAGGAAAGUCAGAAUAGGAAAGAUUCAAAAAUAGUAAGUUUUUACUAAAUCAAAAUAAGAAAGUUUCUUAAAAUGAAAUAGGCAAGUUUCCCUUUUCAAAACAGGAAAGUUUCCUAAAUGACUUAUCCUCAGAUUUUGCGACUUAAUGAGACUCCUUGCUGCAUCAGAAAUCCUCCUUUGAUUAGGAUUUUUCUUACAAAACAUGUUAGAAAUGGCAUCAUUACAAGAAUAACAUAGCUAAAUGGGGCAGGAAACACAUUAUAAACAUAGCACUUUGUGCUCAUAUCAAAUUCCCCCACACUUAGCUUUUGCUAGUCCCAUAGCAAAACCAAAACAACAAGACUCAAAAACAAAUACAACAAAUAACGAACAAACUCUACUGCCCUUAACUAUUGUCUCAGAUUCUCCAAUCUCAUGGCAUCCAAAUUAGAACUUAAUCAAGAAUUAUUCCAUGAAGUUUCAGAAGCUAAUUGCCAUGCAUAAAUCACAUAUUUACAUGUAGGACAUGGAAGAACAGUGGUGAUGGUUAAGCUUAGCAUGUUUCAGACAAAUAUGAUUCAAUCUAACAAGGUAUGCACUCAUUUUUCACACAGAUUUUCUGGCUAAGUCACUGAAAACUAUGCAAGAGAAAGUAUUUUGAGGCAUUCAAAAAGCUUGCAUUUAUAUGAACAAAAAGCACAUGUGAAACAGAUAUAAAACCUCAAGAAAGAAUUAAUUACUCACACAAAUGAACCAUACCAUGGGCUCAACUCUUGGGACAAACUCCACAGAUCAAAAUUUACUCAUCUUUAAGAUCAAAAGGAACUUUAGAAGGUGUUAUUGGGGCUGGGCUAAGGGUAUGAAUUUAAGAGCAAGUGUUGCAAAAUUCCUAAGGACCUAGCAGAGCAUUAAACAUGCCUUAUGUCGCCAAAUCAAGGGCCAUAUACCAUCUUGUUGGGCCCUUCGUCAUUCUAACCACCUUACAACAUCAUUAAACUGAACAAAGGCUAAAUAAUUUUGUUUUUAGGCCUUCCAUUUACAACAAAAACUCUCAUUUCACAACAUAAAGAAAAUGUUCGGAUUUCUUCUUUUUCUGCAGAAAUUUAAUUCUUUUCUUUUUUUACACAAGGACAAGUCAUUUACCCCACACUUGUUUCUGAUCAUCAGUUCCACAAAAUUCUUCACAAUAUGCUCUACUAGGCCCAAAGGACAAGGGUAGAGAUAUCACUGUACUAAGCUCAAGGUAAAAAUUUCAUGGGUGAUGAAAGAAAAAGCUCAAUGUAGGCUCAAAGGGGGUUCAACUAAGGGGUGUGCAGCGCACACAAAUAAGGACAUAGGCUUGUUUAGCAAUGGUGUUCAUCCUAAAAAGUUUCAUUUAUCCUUUCAAAAAUCAGAGCGUUUUAUGAUAAAAAAUUCCGAAAGUCCACAAGAGUGAGUUCUAGUCAUCUCUAGUUUAUUAAAAUCAAUCAAAUUAAAAGAAUAAUGAGGUUUGCAACAGUUAUAACCAAGAAAACGAAUCAGAAUAUUUCACUAAGCACUCAGAAAGAAUGGGACAUAUGAAGGCUCAAAAGCUCACAUUAGGGUUCAUAUGAAUCAAAAUUUGACUUAACAUGCUCAUUUCUGUACCAAAGUUUCAAAACUACGUCCGCUACAUUUCAUAGAUUUCCAUUCAUUGCAAUUAACUUCAGAAUAUCAGUUGGAAAUUAUCUCAAUCUUAUGAUCUUCCUUUAUAAAUUUAGAGAAUUAAGCUCAUCACAGACAGUUAAGGGCUCCUAAGACUCAAAAAUAAAACAAAAGACUCAAAAGCAACAAAAACUGUUUUUGGAUUUCUCAAUUUUUUCGAAUAAAAAUUCAACAAACAUGUAAAUCCCUCCCCCACACUCAAACUCUACAUUGCCCUCAAUGUUCACAAAAUAAUGUGUAGAAUCAAAGUAUGGAGUAGGAAAUUACGACACAACAAACAACAAACAAAACAAGUAAAAACAAAAUGUAAAAGGGAAGAAGGGAGGGAAAACAUCUACGUUGAUGGCUCUUCCACAUCUUCUGGUGAGUUAGGUUGCCUCCCAAUUAGCGCCUCAUUUAACGUCCAUGAGCCAAACGAUUGUACCACACAUUAGUUCUGUGUGAAUGGUUCUUUGUGAAGGGGUACAUCCUCCACAUUGUGUUCCUUGAAAGUCUCAUAAUAAGGCUUCAACCGAUGGCCAUUCACCUUGAAUUCACUCCCAGUUGUGUCACUUCAUAUCUGAACAGCACCAUGGGGAAAAACAUUAGUAACAAUAAAAGGGCCAACCCAUUUAGAACGAAGUUUACCUAGAAAAAGUCUUAGCCGAGAGUGGAACAGUAGAACUUUUUAGCCCACAACAAAACUCUUUCCACGAAUCAUCUUAUCAUGGAAUGCCUUUGUCUUCUCUUUGUAGAUCCAUGCAUUGUCAUAGGCAUCAUUUCUGAUCUCCUCAAGUUCAUUCAACUAGAGUUUCCAGUGUAGGUCGGUAUCAUCAAUGUUCAUGUUAAAAGUCUUGAUUGCCCACCACGCUUUAUGUUCAAGCUCCACUACAUGCCUUCCCGUAGACUAGCCGAAAUGGAGAUGUCCCAAUGGGGGUCUUGUAAGCUGUGCGGUAAGCCCACAAUGCAUCGUUCAGCUUUUGGCUCCAAUCCUUCCGUGUGGGGCCCACAGUCUUCUCCAAAAUUCUCUUUAUCUCACGGUUAGAUAUCUCUGCUAACCGUUUGCGGAUGGUAAGGUGUAGAAACCUUGUGUGUCACAUUGUACUUCUUCAGCAGAGCCUCAAUUGAUUUGUUGCAGAAAUGUGAUUCUCCAUCGCUUAUGAUAACACGUGGCAUUCCAAAUCUGCAAAAGAUGUGAGGGAAGGAAAUCUGCAACAACUUUGGAAUCAUUAGUUUUGGUGGCUAUCGCUUCCACCCAUUUCGAAACAUAAUCAACUACCACAAGAAUAUACAAAUAACCAUUGGAUGAAGGAAAAUGUCCCAUAAAAUCAAUUCCCCAUACAUCAAAAAUUUCCACAGUUAUAACAGGAGUUAAGGGCAUUUGAUCUCUAGAACCUAGGGUUUCCUAAUCUUUGACACCUAUCACAAGUCUUGCAAAACAAGUAAGCAUCUUUAAAAAUUGUAGGCCAAAAGAAACCUGCAUCCAACACUUUAAGGGCAGUUCUUCGACAUCCAAAAUGACCUCCACAAAUUCAGAAUGGCAAAAGGCAAGAAUAGAUUGAUGUUCAUUUUCAGGGACACACCUCCUAAUUAUUUGAUCUUGACAAUGUUUCCACAAAAAAGGAUCAUCCCAAAUGUAAUGCCUAGCCAAUUUCUUAAGUUUUUCUUUUUGAGAACGAGGUAAAGUGUCUAGAAAAGUCUUAGUCACAAGAUAGUUCACAAUAUCAACAUGCCAUGGUUCACUUACCUCAAUUCUGAAAAGUUGUUCAUCUGGAAACGUCUCACACAAGGGCAAGGCGUCCUCAUCAUGUACUAAUCUGCUCAAGUGAUCAGCAACGUCGAAUUCUUGGAGUAACAACAUCCAUCGUAUAAGCCUUGGCUUCACCUCUUUCUUUGUAAACAAGUACCUCAAUGCUGCAUGAUCAGUAUAAACAAUUACUUUAGAUUGAAGCAAAUAAGAACGAAAUUUAUCUAAAGCAAAUACAAUAGCAAGAAGCUCUUUUUCAAUGGUAGAGUAAUUCAAUUGUGCAUCAUUGAGCGUUCUUGAGGCAUAGUAAAUGGCAUAGGGCUUCUUGUCCUUCCUCUGCCCUAGCACUGCUCCAACAACAUGGUUGGAUGCAUCACACAUCAAUUCAAAGGGUUCAUUCCAGUUUGGGGGUAGCAUCACCGGUGCUGUUGUCAACAAUUCCUUCAACUUCUCAAAUGCCUUCUUGCAUUCGUCAUCAAAAUCAAAGGCUACCUCCUUUUGAAGGAGGCAAGUUAGGGGUCUGGCUAUCUUGGAAAAGUCCUUGAUAAACCUGCGAUAAAAACUUGCAUGGCUAAGAAAUGAACGUAUCUCCCUCACAAUAGUGGGGUAUGGUAAGUAACGAAUAAGAUCAAUCUUGGCCUUAUCAACUUCAAUUCCCCUGGCAGAUAUGAUAUGUCCCAAAACAAUUCCUUGUGUCACCAUGAAAUGACAUUUUUCCCAAUUCAAUAAUUGGGAAAAAUUAUUGAUUCAAUAAUUGAUUCAAUCUUAAGAACCAUUUUUAUUUCCAGAAAGUCUACAUUUAUGUGAUUUUGCUCAUCUAAAUGGUAGACAUUUCUCAUGAAAAUAGUAGUUGUGUUUUAUGUUAAAUGUAGACUUUGCAACUUUUGCCUUUAAUGGGUUCAAUAUCAAGAACAAUUUUGAUUUCCAGAAAGUCUACUUUUUUGUUAUUUUGCUCAUCUAAAUGGUAGGCAUUUCUCAUGAAAAGAGUAGAUGUGUCUUAUGUUAAAUGUAGACAUUUCUCAUGAAAAGUUUACUUUUCUUUGAUUUCUCUUAUGUUAAUGAUAGACAUUUCUAAUGAAAAUAGUAGAUGCGUCUUAUGUUAAAUGUAGACUUUGCAUCUUUUACCUUGGGUUGCUUCAAUCUCAAGAACAAUUUUGAUUUCCAGAAAGUCUAUUUUUCUUUGAUUUCGUUUAUGUUAAUGGUAGAGAUUUGUAAUGAAAAUAGUAGAUGUGUCUUAUGUUAAAUGUAAAGUUGCAAAUUUUACCUUGGGUUGAUUCAAUCUCAAGAACAAUUUUAAUUUCUAGAAAGUCUACUUUUCUAUUGAAAACAAUAGAUGUGUCUUAUGUUAAAUGUGUCUUUCUACUUGCAACAAUUUUUAUGAUAUUUUUCAUGACAGUAGUAGCUGUUUCUUAUAAUAGUUGUAGACAGUCUCAAGAAUCAUUUUGAUUUCUAGAAAGUCUACUUUUGUGUGAUUUUGCUCAUCUGAAUGGUAGAUAUUUCUAAUGAAAACUGUAGAUAUAGAGAGACUAAACAGAGAGUUAACGGUGUUAGUUUGUUUUAACCUGCUAUAGCAAGUCAAAACUGGUUGGGUAUCUAUACCUUAAGGCACACAAGUGGAACCCUUCUUAUAUUCCCACUUUAUGAUCAUGUAUAUUUCAGGAAGAUUUAAAGAACCCUUUUGCAUAGAGAAUUGGGAGGUUACGCUUCAGAGCUUUGUUGGAUAGACUCCCUAAGACAAGAUGGCCCUCAGGUACUCUUCAUGUCUUGUACGUAUUACUUACUGUUGUAACUUUCCUAACUAGCACAAACACCAAUUCCAAGCCUAACUAUGCCAAUCGAACGAAAACAUUACAAAAAACCCUAGAACUUCCACUCACCGGUUCUCCUCACCUGAAGCAAACUGGACUGAGUCCUUCUAGGGCAAGGCAACUGGGUUGAAGACCUUCAAAACCAUUUAAGGCUUGCCCAGAUUGGUGGCUGGAGGAGGAAGUUCCGGCGACAUAGAGCUUUGGGCAGUCAGGACUUCCAGGCGAGUUUCCUCCCGAUCGACGGCACUAGGGGCUCGGUCACCUACCUAGAAAUGAAGAGGAGAAGGUGGUGGUUCGAUUGGGACCAACUUGGCGGCCGGAGCUGGUCGGACGGCGGCGGACGAGCGAGAAGAAAAUCUUGUAGGGAGAGGUUCAAGGAGAGAGUUGGGGGGAAGAGAGAGAGAAGUGAGGUAAGAGAAAUGGUUUGGGCCUCCUCAAACUGGUCCAACACCUUAAUACUCACACCAAAAAAAUAAACCCAACUCCAAAAUUAACACCACAAAAUAAUACCCUAAUAAAAAUUACCUUUUACUAGCUAAAAUUAACCAUUUUUAUCGUCAUCACAUUUUUCUCCUAUGAAUAAUUUCACCGAAAUAGACGUCCCCAAAAACCCCUCUAGGGACCAUUUAAACUAAUAACUCAUUGACGAAGACGGUAAAAAUGAUAUUAAUACCAAGCUAGUAAAUAAGGUAAAAAUUUAAGAAUCGGGAUGUGACACGUUAAAAUGCUCAAUGAAAUAACCAAUCCAAAUAAUCAACAUAUUUCAAACCUCAAAUCCUUGAACCAUUAGAAUUAAUAUAAGUUAAAAUACCAAAUCUUUUACCCAAGCUCAAAUUCAUAAGUUCCUCAAUGAAUUCAUAAUCAAUGGGUCAAUCACACAUAAAUCCCAUAACCAAUUCAAAAGCCGAAAUUAUAAUUUAAGCUUGGAAAAAUGUAUAAUGGACAACUUAAAAUCAUGCAUGCAUAUUAGUUAAAAACCAAAAUGUCCACUCACAGAAAAAAAACCCGCUACGCCGGUCGGCGGUCAGAGCCUUCCUCACGUGGUGUCUCCUCUCGUCCUGAGCAAAACGAGAUUUAAGACCCGAGACAACAAUCACAAAAUUAAUCAGUUAUAAGGAAAAGCUAUCCUAGCACUAAUCUUACUCGCCCAAACUUUCCAAAAUCUACUUAUAGCUCUACUUUAUCAACAACUUUCCUACAAUUCGACGAGGAGUUCUAGUGUAGAAUAUAAUGGACCAAACGAAUAAGCCUCCUCAAUUCCUCCCCUACCAAAACUAAUUCCAACACCAUAUCCCAAAAUCCAAGCAACCAUCUCCAAAAAUCCCCUACACUAAAUCAACAUAAAUCCCUUCUAGAAACCAUCCAAAAUUCCUCUAAACCACCAUUGUAAUCGGCAGCAGCCACCGGCAGGCGGCGGUCAACCGCCACCACCAUCUCAACUUCAUCCAAAAUUGACAACGCAUAUAUCAAACUCUUCUUCUCAACAAGCACAACAACAAUCAUGACUAACACAAAACCUACAAAUCAAAGGUUUGGCCGGAAAAUACCUCACAAGCUCAAGAACACAAAAACUCCGAUUUGGCUAUAUACCCCGAAUUGUUCUUCCACUUUUGGAGGGUUGAAAGCCAAUAGGAGAGCUACAAAAGCACCCAAAGAUUGCUGGAAACGGUGGCCGGAGAAGGGAGUUCCGGCAAGGGCAACUACGCGCACUACUACAAAUAUGGGCUUUAAUGACAUUAUAUCCAUGGCGUUUCUGGUAGGGGUGGGCAUAAAGCCCGUUGGAGAUAAAAAGCCCGAUCCGGACCGGCCAGCCCGACCGGGCCGGGCUGGGCUUUUAACUGGUCCCGACUAUAUUUAUUGGAGGUCCAGGCCGGGCCCGUGUAUAACCGGUCCGGGCCUGGGCCUUGUUUAUGGAAAUGAAAAAAAGCCCGAGAGCCCGACUAAUAUACAUGUCAUACUUUUAUUGGGUGUUUUUAAGGAUCUACGAUAAUAGAAUGAGCUCAACCACACAGGAUUUGUGGCCGGUCGAAGACCUAAACUAAAUUGAGAGGGUCAACUCUCUCAGUCUCGCUCUCGAACAGUCGAACUCUCGCAGUCGCAGAGUCGCAGUCUCGCUCUUGAACACUUGAACACUCGAACUGUCGUUGAGUCGUUGUCGCACACUCGCACUCGCACACUCUCGCUGUCUCGCUCUCAAACUCUAGCCUAGUCUCGCUGUCUCGCACUCGCACACUCUCGCUAUCUCAGUCUCUCAGACUCUCUCAGGCUCGCAUCUCAUCUUCAUUGGAAAGCAGCUCGAUCAAAGGUCUGCUCCUCUCUCUCUCUCNNNNNNNNNNNNNNNNNNNNAACGUAACGUCGUCCUCUCUCUCUCUCUCUCUCUCUCUCUCUCUCUCUCUCUCUUCGUAGUUUGUAUCUGCGAUUCUGAAUUUGAGAUUGGCUUUGAUUCUAAUCUGGGUUCUUGUUUCUUGUUUUGAUCGACUCUUCUGGAGAAAGUAAGGCUCUUCCUGGAAUCUAACCCUGUUUAUUCAAUAACAUUGCUUGAUUUACUGCUUAGUUUCCAUGCUUUGGUGUUAGGAAUCAGUAGCUCUUUUGUUAUUUUAGGUUCUAGUGUCUAGCGAUAGCUUCUGUGCUGUACCAGCUUGAUUCUUUCUAGUUGUUUUUUAGGGUCUUGAUGAAGUCUGAAUAUGCCUCUAGUGAUGAUCCAUAUAUACUUUCGUUCUUCCAAGAUUCUCCAUGCGGAAAUUUUUUGGAGACCUGAACUAAAGAGGCUGCAUUAUGCUUUUAGUUACAUUGUCUUAUACAUACAAACUGUACUAUUGUCUUUUAGGGAUUGAUGCUCCUUGUGCUUCUUUUUGGUUGUUUUGAAUUAGAUUUUCAGCUAUUGCGGUGGUUUUGAUAUUUAGAUUUAGGUUCUAUUCAACAGUUUUUUUUGUUUUUAAUAAUGUAUUGGUUAAUGUGGUUGUUAAAAGCGCCGAUGUAUGGACUUCGUCGUCGGUCUAUGUUAUGCUACCUAUGUUAUGCUGGUUUUUGCGAUGACACAAUCUUUUGUUUUGGAAUGAUACAUUUUAUGCAUCUUGUUAUGUAAUGUUCUUCUAGGUUUAUACUAUGAGAUUUGUGCUGAGUUUGGUUUAUACUAUGAGAUUUGUGCUGAGUUUGUUAUUUAGAUCUUAUAUAUAAGCUGUAUAUGUCAAAUUGAUUGAUUGGGUUCAUGUAUUUUUUGGCAGGUUUGACGCAGAGUUUUUGGAUCAAGUCUAGAAGACCUUGCCUCCUGCUCAGGAUGUCUGGCCGGCCAAUGGAUGUUAUCAGUAGCAAGAAUAUGUAACCUAUGCUUGUGGGUGAACCAUGCUUAUCAGUAGUUUAGACUUCAGAACUUCGUUUGUCACUAUCAUCUUCUCUUUUAAGUGAUCAACACUGUAACUAAGUUAGGACUCUCUCCUUAGGGUGUCUGGUGUGCAGUAAACUGUAUAAAUUAUAAAAUUGGUUUUCUUAUGUUUGCCUUGAGUUUUUUUUUUUUAUCUUCUCAAUUUAGAUAGAUGGUGAUGGUGAUUGAAGUUUAGAUAGAUUGUGAUGGUGAUUGAAGUUUAGAUAGAUGUUGAUGGUGAUUGAAGUUUAGAUUGAAGUUUAUUGACUUUAAUUGAAGUGUUUCUCUGCCCUUGAGUCGUUGACUGGUUUUGUUGAAAUGUUGACUGUUGAGUUUUGUUGAAGUGUUGAAUGACUUGAAUCUGUGUAGUUGGUUUUUGCCUUUUUGGUUUUGAACUGUGAGUAAUCACUAAUCACUGUAAUUGUGAUUUUGUGCAUUGUGAGUCUGUGAGUUUGUAUCUUCAUUGUUGUUUGGUUGCAACAAAGGGUUUAGUCUAAACUCUUAAACUACUAAACCGUUUAGAUGUCGACGUCCUCUUCAUCGUAUGGCUGCUAUUCAGUCAAUUCUGAUUCAGAGACUGGGUGUUACAAGUCAAGCGAAGAAGUUGAAGAAAUUAAAGUACCAGCUGAGACCGGGGAUGAUUUGGUUCUAGCAGAGGCUGAGAACAAGGAGGCAGAACCAGAAGCUCCAGUUGUAGUUGAAGCUCCAGCCACAACUGAGGUUUCGCGGGGUGCACCGAGAAAAAGAAGAAGAGGUUCUGUUCCAACUCAGCCUAAGGUUUCUAAACUGACUUCAUAUGUGUGGGAGCACUUUACGAAGUAUGACAGAGAUCUCUUUACUAAUCAAGAUGGGAAGAAAGUAAAAGUAGGGCAUGAGAAGCGUGCACUAUGCGUGCAUUGUGGCGCUGACCUCAAAGGGGAUACUUCCUUUAACGGUACGAGCACUUUGCGUAGGCAUAUUCAGAAAGUAUGCUGGUAGGGAAAGUAUAGAUGACGGACAAGCUGUGAUUGUUGGGGAUGGUGAAGCCGAACCUGAAAUGCAACUCCAGAAAGUGUGGACCAAUGACCGUUGUGUGCAAGCUGCCUGUGAGAUGAUAGUGAUCGAUGAGCUGCCGUUUAGCCAUGUUGAGGAUGAAGAGUUUAGGCAUUUUUGCAAGGUGGCUGUCCCGCAAUUCACUCCACCAUCUAGGAGAAUAGUAGUAAGGUGCUUUUGGAAGUUGUAUGAUGAGAAGAAAGAGGAGCUUAAGAAGGUGUUAAGUAAUCAGAGGUUGUGCUUAACGACAGAUACUUGGACUUCAAUUCAGAAGAUCAACUAUAUGGUGUUGACGGCACACUUUAUAGAUGAUGGUUGGAAUUUGCACAAGAGGAUCAUCAACUUUUGUGUGAUUCCUAAUCACAAAGGCACAACAAUAGGCAAGAUUUUAGAAUCUUGUUUGCUGCGUUGGAGGAUAGAGAAGGUGUUGACUAUCUCGGUCAAUAAUGCAAGUGCAAAUAAGGUGGCGAUAGAGUAUCUUCAAGGGAAAAUGGCUGCAUGGAAAGACCCCCCGGUGUUUGGAGGAAAGCACCUUCAUGUGAGGUGUUUGGCUCACAUCUUGAACAUCAUAGUGAAGGCUGGUUUGUCCUUAAUGGAUAAAAGUUUUGCAGCAAUUAGAAAUGCAGUCAAGUAUAUUAGAAGUAGUUCUAAUAGAUUGGACGUGUUCAAGGUGUACAUGGAGAAGGAGAAAUUAGAAGGGAACAUAGACACUGAAAAAAUACCGGCACUUGAUCUUCCAAUAAGAUGGAAUUCUACCUUUUUAAUGCCAGACAUAGCUUUAGAUGUGAGGCCAGCUUUUGAAAGGAUGGCUGCAGAGGAAAUGAACAAGUAUAGAAGCUAUUUUGAUGAAGAAGAUGAGCUCGAUGAGGAAGAAGAACAAGAGUAUGUUCCGGUGACACCAAGAACAAGAAAAAUAAGAGUUGGACCACCACAAGAUGAGGAUUGGGAAAAGGCUGAAAUAUUUGUGUUGAUCUUGAGGGUUUCUCAUGAUGUGACAAUGAGGAUGAGUAUGACUAGACACCCCACUGCUCAUAAAGCAUUUCAUGACAUUGUAGCAAUAGAAGGGGAGAUUAAUGCACUUUUUGCGCCUACUGCUGGAACUAGAAGUGAAGUUGAAUUGCUGAUGUUGAAGAUGGCAGAAAAGAUGCUUGCCAAGUUUAGAAAAUAUUUUGGACGUAUUGAAGACAUGAAUCAGUUGUUGUUGGUUGCAUUGGUAUUGGAUCCUAGGUUCAAGCUGAAGAACAUAUCUCAUACUUACCUACAAGUGCUCCAUUAUUCACCUAAGGAAGCAAAAGCCAAGACUAACUCUGUUAAGGAGCUCUUGGUUGCCUUAACUGACAUCUAUAGAACAUCAACCAAUGCAUCAGCCAAUGACAAUACAUCUUCAAAGAGCAGCACUGCAGCAAGUGUCGUUUUCGGCAGCGCAAAAGAAACAGCCUCAUCUUUCAAGUCGAAGAGAAACAGGGCUGUGAAGAUGUCAGGGAAAAUGGCCGACUUGUUGGAAGGUAGUACCUACUGUGUGUUCUAUUUUUGUUAAAAUUUGUUUAUGGCUGUUCUUCAUUUCUUCUUCAAUGUUGAACUUACUGUGAGUUUUGAGGGGCUUUAAGAUAUGGUGUUUCAUAUGUGUUUUGUUGCAGGUUGGCAAAAGGCUUUAGCUGAAUCCGACGAAGUCAUUGUUGAGAGUGAGGUUGAUAGAUACUUGCUUGAUCCAAUCGAGUGUCCACCCAAGAAAGAAGCAGCUAAUUGGUGCCUGCUACAUUGGUGGAAGACAAAUGGCUGCAAAUAUCCAAAUCUUGGUCUUCUAGCAAAGGAUGUACUUGCUAUCCAGGUUAGCACAGUUGCAUCUGAGUCAUCCUUCUCUACUGGAGGUAGAGUGAUUGAUCCUUUUAGGAGUUCUUUAACUCCUAAAACAGUGGAAGCAUUGCUUUGCUUGCAAAAUUGGAUAAAGAAAAAAGAUCAAUCUNNNNNNNNNNNNNNNNNNNNNNNNNNNNNNNNNNNNNNNNNNNNNNNNNNNNNNNNNNNNNNNNNNNNNNNNNNNNNNNNNNNNNNNNNNNNNNNNNNNNNNNNNNNNNNNNNNNNNNNNNNNNNNNNNNNNNNNNNNNNNNNNNNNNNNNNNNNNNNNNNNNNNNNNNNNNNNNNNNNNNNNNNNNNNNNNNNNNNNNNNNNNNNNNNNNNNNNNNNNNNNNNNNNNNNNNNNNNNNNNNNNNNNNNNNNNNNNNNNNNNNNNNNNNNNNNNNNNNNNNNNNNNNNNNNNNNNNNNNNNNNNNNNNNNNNNNNNNNNNNNNNNNNNNNNNNNNNNNNNNNNNNNNNNNNNNNNNNNNNNNNNNNNNNNNNNNNNNNNNNNNNNNNNNNNNNNNNNNNNNNNNNNNNNNNNNNNNNNNNNNNNNNNNNNNNNNNNNNNNNNNNNNNNNNNNNNNNNNNNNNNNNNNNNNNNNNNNNNNNNNNNNNNNNNNNNNNNNNNNNNNNNNNNNNNNNNNNNNNNNNNNNNNNNNNNNNNNNNNNNNNNNNNNNNNNNNNNNNNNNNNNNNNNNNNNNNNNNNNUAUAUUCUUCAUUUCUUAUAGACUAAUAUUCAAUUAUUCUCUUACAGGUAAAAGAUGAAGGGCAUGUCGGCAACUGAAGUUAUGAACUCACAGCAUAGCUAGACUGCAUAACAGCAGGCUUGUCAAUGGAGAUAACAAAUUUAUGCCUUGAUUUUGUUCAGCUACUUUGAAUGUUUGAUUGCUUACUGAUUACUUAUUUUUGUUGUGAACUGUUGGACUAUUGGUAUUGGAUACUUGCCUACUUAGUCCUCUACUCCUCUUGGAGUUUUAUUUAAUAUUUGUUGUUUAAAAUGACUUCUCUGUUAAUUUGUUAGUGCUGGACUGAUGGUUUUAAUUAAAUUCAGUUGUUGAGAACUUGAGAUUUGAUUGCUUUGCAGCCUUUGCUAGUUUUUGCUGUGCUUUACAGUUUACUGCUUUGUGCCUUUGUUGAGCACUUGAACAGUUGAACACUUGGUCAGUUGGUCUGGUUUUGCUAUUGCAGAUUUACAGUUGAGUUGUCAGUUCACUCAGUUGUGUGCACUGUGCAGUGUGUUGAGCUUUUAGUCUUGCACAUUCUAGUGAUUUCAUAGUAUAAGUCUUAUAGAUUAUGCAGAUAAGCAGAUUGCAUUGCAAAUUUGGCAAUGGCAGAUAAGCAGAUUUGCAUUGCAUUUCAUUUCAGGUUAUCGGGCCCACAAGCCCGACAGGACCGACCCGGUUCUUGCCGGUCCAGGCUUUUUCCGGGCCCUGAAUUUGAAACAAUAAAACCCGGCCCGGUUAGAGUGUAUCUGGUCUGGGCCCGGGCCCUGUAAAGUAGCGACCGGGCCAGGCCCGUGCCCAGCCCUAGUUUCUGGCAAAAUCGCCAUGAAAGAAUGUUUCAAUGACAUUUUUAUAUCAAAACGUCGUGAAUCCUUUUGGGCUAAAUAAUUAACGACACUUUUAAAACGCCGUAGAAUAUUAUAAACAUUAACGGCGUUUCUCAGACGCCAUAAAAGGUAAUCGCAUUUUACCCUAUCCUAAGGAAUUAGUGGAGCACAAUAUAUUUGGAGAUUCAUUGUGGUUAAGGUGGUACUGUUGUAAGCAAGUUUGGGGGACCUACUUAUCGAUUCAAGGAAGGAAAAGAAGAAAAAUAAAGUUGUUGGUUGUUGAAAAAAAAAAAAUUAUGCAAAGCCAAAGAGAAAAGAAAAAAAAAUCAAAAGAUGUAAAAAGUUAGGUUCCUUGAAUCUGAUUCAUUGUUGGUUGUAGUUGGGAAGGUUAGAAUGAAGCAAAAGCCCAAAACGGUGACAUCCGACCCCAUAGAAGAAGAAGAAAAUUCUGAUUACUUGCUUCAUGAAAUUUUGAGUUCAAUGCCUUAAGGAGACAUCGUUGUUAGUGCUCUACUAAAUUUCCUUAGGAUCUUUGUGUUUCCUUAUCCCUUCUUUCAUGAAAGCCCACACCCCUUUGGCCUUCCAUUACAACCCUGAAACAAAAGUCCUAUUUGAUCAUUGGGGAUGGCAGCUGGCCUGUUGGAGAUUUCUGUGUGAGAUGAGCCUAUGUCUUGGGUUUCAUUUGGUCAAUGUCUGGUAUCGUUCGUGAAAUCUAAUUAAAAAUUAUAUCCAUAAAGAGCCUUCUUGUUAUUUACGUGAGCUAUUUGUUUUGUGCAUAUUAUCUCUCUUACGUAUAUAGGAUGUGUACAAAAGUCAAAAAAUCAUGAGUGAAAAGAUUGGAGUGCACACUUGUGAGGAAUCAAGUUGAUGCUUGUUUGAAACAUGAUUUUGAGCAUGAUGGUUAUCAAAAUGAAUUAGCUUUUAAGUGAGUUUGUGGAUUAAUAUUGUGACUGUUUGAAUCUUGAUGGACCAUAUGUGUGGGCAUUAUUGUUCUCUGAUAUGUUUGGAAGGCGUUAGGUUUGUGUUUAGUUUUCUUGUUUUGCUCGAGGACUAGCAAUAUCUAAGUUUGGGGGUAUUUGAUAGAUUCGUAUUUCAUACAUUUUUAUACCCUUAGAUGCAUGAUUAUAUGCUUAGUUCUUGUCAAUUGUGAGUCAUUUACUUGGUUUUUACAUUUUGUAGGUCAAGUUGGAGAAAAAGAGAAUUUGGAGCUAAGUGAUCCAGAAACUGCUCUGCUGUGCGUCAACUUUGAGAAUUAAACUAUACCUGCUCACAAGGAAUUUGGAGGCGAGCCAAACACCAUUGGAAAGCUACGGAUGUUAGCUUUCUAUGAAAUUUUGCAGAAGUGGAUUUGCAUUUUUCUAGAGCAAGUUAUGAAGGUUUGAGUGAACCCAGCGAUUGGAGGCAGAUUCUGACGAAUUUUGUGUUUCUUCUCAUGAUUCCAAUUUGUGAAGCCCAAGUCUAUCAAUCUUAAUACUUCAAGGAAAGGGACUGAACGUGUCUACACAUUUGGAAGGCUAUCCUUACAUUGACAAUAAUAACCUUUUGUUAUUUGGAGAGAAGAUAACCUUUUGUUAGUUGAUAAAAUAAAAUAAAACAAAUAAAUUGAAAAUAUUAAAUAAAAAAUACUAUAGCUAACGAAUUUCAUUACUUUAGCCGACGAAAUAAAAAUUUCGUCGGCUAAAGGUAUCGGGUAUAUAAUUAAACCCAGCACUCGUUAGCCUCCUUGAACCCUCACCGCGCUCCACCGCCUCCUCGAGCCCUCCACAGCCACCUCGAGCCAUCUCCGUUCUGCUCCGACGAGGCGGCGACACCCUCAUGCUCCACGCCCUCCAGUCCACCACCGUUUACCUCCUUUUAGCCCUCCGUGAGUCCUCUUUCUCACUUUAAUAGAUCUACUUCUCCUUACUGUGUGUAUGACUAGGUUUUUGGGUUGUAUUGAACUGUAAAUUGUUGUUACUGUUAUUAUAAUUGUUCGGAAUUUAAUGGGUAUGAAUACGAUUUGUUGAAAUUUAGAGUGUUCAAUCGAGUUAGGGUUACGAUUUCUAAGUUUGUUCUUGAUUGAUUUUGGAGGCUAAGCAUCAUAGAUGCAGAGAAUAAAUAUCAACUUGUUUUCCCUUGUGCUUGAUUGAAAUAUGUGUUCUUUUCAUAAGCAUACUGCAUACAUUUGUUGAUGAUUUUUCAGCUGAUUUACCUUAUUUAUUGUGUGAAUUAAAACUUAAUUUUCACACUCAUAAUUGUAAUGUGACGUUAUUUAUUCGUUUCAUGCUGUAUUUUGUUUCUCUAAUACUGAAUGGUGUAUUGGUAGCUAAUAAUUCAUUUUCUUUCAAUUUAUAAAUUUAUUUCUCACCGUCGAGAUUCUCUAUUUUUUUUUCUUGAUUAGGAAGUUCAAGCCCAACCAGGGUUGAAAUCCUGGAUUCGCAACUGUUUUAAACAGGAUGAGCGGUAAUUUUAGAUCGAUGAACGGUUCGAAUGGCCAAAGGUCUGAAUCGUCUAAGGGAACCUCUAUCAACCCUCAAACGUCGUUUCGGGCCCCAUGACAUCCAGACGUGCGACCCUUCUGGAGACGGCGCAGAGGCAGCCGAGCGUUUCCCAUUCCUCGAGGCAGCAGGAGGUUCCCCCUUCAUCUAGGCUGUCACAUCCCGACCCUUAUAUUUUUACCUUAUUUACUAGCCUGAUUAUAAUAAGAAUUUUACCGUCUCCGUAAUUGAGUAAAUAGUUUAAUUGGUCCCUAGAAGGGUUUCGGGGACGAUUAUGUGUGGAGGAUUAUUCGUAUGAGGAAAAUACGACUACGGUAAAAAUGGUAAAUUUUAGCUAGUAAAAGGUAAUUUUUAUUCGGGUAUUAUUUUUUCGGGGUGUUGAAUUUUGGAAUUUUGGGUUAAAAGGAGUGUUGGGUCGGCUGGGCCGAGCCCAACCCAUUUCUUCUUUCUCUUCUCCCUCUCUCCCGAUUCUCUCUCCUCCCACCCGAUUUUCUUCUCUCUACACCCAGAAGAAUUCCGGCCGUCCUCCCGCCGCCGUCCGACCUCCGUUCGCCGCCGGACCGGUCCCGUUCGGUCGGUCUCCCUCCCAGCAACAUUCUAGACCGGUGAGAGGAGCCCUAGCGCCGCCGUGNNN